UUUUUUUUUUUUGAAACAGGUAACAUAUCUGUAAAUUAAUAACAAACUACACAAAGGGUGUGUAGUCCCCCAUAUUUACAUCCAAUAUGAGCAAAAAAAGAAGCUCCUAGUCCUUAAUCUUCUCAUAAGGAAUCUAGUACAUCAAAAAUAGAUUAUGAAUCUUCCAUUAAAUUAUGUUUACACACGAAAAAAGAAAAGCCCUAAACAUUUCAUCUUCAGUUCCUGAAAAUUGAUGAUUUUAACUUCAAAGUAACUAUGGUUUUUCUCUCCCCACACAGUCCACCAAAUGCAGGCGGGGACAAUUUUCCAUCUCUCUUUCAGAUUAGAAGUAUUGACAUCUCAUUCUAAUUUUCAUCACUUCUAUAGUAGUUAAAUGGAGAAAGUAAAUUUCAGAAAUGAAGUUGGUAGAAGGUUGCUUACAUCAGGGUAGCACGCAUUUGCUUAAUAGUGAUUUUUGAAAUCUCUGACAGUUCAAUCAAGCAGAUUGAUCAAAAUAUCUUUUGCUUUUCUCUCUACGUUUGUUUUCAUUGAUUAAUUUGAAAUGAAUAAUUCCUAAACCCCUUACUUCAUUAACCCGGCUUCAUAUGCGAUCUGAUUUUUGUUAGUGAUAAAGGUUUCUUUCCUGGUGUGUCUAUUCUUUAUCACUUAAAAAUAAUUUCUUGUAUAUCUUAUCAUUCUGAGUCACUAGGAACGUUUAUUCCUGCGGGAAUUGUAAUGUUAUAUGCAAUUGCAGUAAAAAAUUUAGUAGCGCGUCCAUCUUGUUUUCAUGUUGCUAGUACAAAUUGUUCUUAUACUUUAUGUAUAAUCCAUUUCAUGACAAGUACCUCACUCUUGUGAAAUGUACUUAACGUCCAACAUGCUUGCUUCCUUGUAGAAAAAAAUAGUAGUUAUCCCAUUGCGUUCCUUUCUGCCAUUCAUCGAAUCAUAGAAAAUUGGAAUGUGCUCCCAACCUGUCUGAUAUGACAAGAAAAUAUAUGCAAUAUAUAUCAAGUCGGAUGUUGUAUACAACACUACUGAUUGCCACUCCAAUGAUACAACUAAUUGGUGUUGGUGUAGAUUUAAGUUAUAUAUGCUUUGUCUGAGGUCUAUAGUGCCAGAGAUAUCUGAAUCUGUGCAUGUGUUUUUUGGUCUUUCACCUUUUCUCGAAACUACUAUGUUUUGAACAAGAAGCACCAUGAACAUUCUACUCAGAGGUUCUUACUUUGUAUAAUUCCUGGUGAUCAUAUCUGAGGAAAAAUAUGCUAAUUCUGUAUUACAUUUAUAUUUGAUUAAGCACAUAACUUAGGAUUGUUCUGCAGUUAUGUCAUAUGUGCUUGUUCUUGUUUUCUUACCUCGGACUCUUGGAAUACUGUGUUCCCUCUGUGCGUUUGUACAUCUGGCAUUUGGAUAAAGUCAUGACCAAUUGUGAGACAUGCUUUACACUUUCUUCUAAAAGUGAUGAAGCAGAUGCAUAUAGCCCAAAAUGAUCAGAUGAAAUUAAAGCUAAAUAGUCUUGGAUAAAAUUGCCUGGUCAUUAGACAUUUGUAAGCUCCUGCUCUCUCUGGUGGUUUCUACAUUAUUACUGACCACAAAAAUAGAUGAGUCCUUCUGAUGUCAGCUUCUAAUUACUUGUGAUUUCUGCAAGAACCUCUAAUCAAUCUUCAUGAACUUGUAUAUGUAGGUCAUCACAAUUGAACCAGGAGUAUACAUCCCUUCAUUGGUUGAUUGUCCAGAAAGGUAUACUUGUUACUUUAUCAAUUGAUGUUUCUCAGUUUAUUGAACUGGUUCUAUCUGCCAAAAUGUGUUGUGGUGGAUUAAUGAAGAAUUACUCUUUUAUGCAUAAAAAGUAGAGAAUCAUAUGACAAUGUAUUUUCUAGGUUGGUCAGGUAGAUCCUGUAGGUCAAAUCAACUGCUGUGAAGUUCUUAGAGUUGUAACCUGUAGCAGUAUUAGUCAUUUUGAGUAAUUGUACAAAAGAGUCCCAGUUAGGUUGGGGUUUCAGUGAAUGACUAAAGGCUAAUUAUGUUCAACCACGACUGGUAUCAGCAACCUUUAAUUCGAAAUUUCUUUUGCAAGAUUUAAAAAAGAUUUCACACCUCGAAAUAAAUAUUCCAUGUAGCAAUGGCAUUUUCAGGUUGUCCGGUUCUAGGAAAAAUGGUUGCUUUGUUGUAAAUCUAGGGGAGAAAGAAUAAUUGCUCACUUGAACUAAGUAGCUGUCAAAUUUAAAUUUCUGUUGCCUGGUGAUUCAUCUGUAGUUAAGGAGCUAGAUUAUUCUCUUGCCCCCCACUAAGGAAUAAAAGGCGCACUUGUUUUCUUAGAAAUCGUUCUUUUACUUGCACUUCUAUAUACUUAAAUCUCAUCAUCUAUAAUCACUUCUGUCAAUCAGGUUCCGUGGCAUUGGCAUAAGAAUUGAAGAUGAAGUCCUUAUUACAGAAUCGGGGUAUGAGGUAUGUUGACAGAAAUUGUUCAAUUGCUUUUAAGGCCUAAGCAACCAUAUGGUUCCUCUGACCCUUUGAUUAUGUACGAAACUAAUUAUUAGCGCUCGAAAGAUUAAGUUGGUUUUAUGGCAUUGUGAGUAAAGGUCUGAUGGUCGAUGAAUCUUUAUGCCAAUUUUCUACCUCUCUGGAUACAGGUCCUUACUGCUUCCAUACCAAAGGAAAUUAAACACCUUGAGUCCUUGUUGAACAACUUUGCCAAUGGAAGGGGAACAGACACUGGAGCUGCUCACAGUUAGUUUGCUUUUAAUUCUCCACGCCUCGACACAGUUACGAUUUUUUUUAAAAAAAAAGCAGCACCAGAAUCCAAGUGGUUCAUGUUUGUUUUCUACCAGAGCCAUUUCUAUUUUACUAGCAAGAAUUGAAUUGUUGAAUAAUAAUUUAUGUUAUUUGUUCAGUAUGAUUUGCUAGUAAGAACAAUUGCAUGGACUUUUCCUUCUAUAGAAUAAGUUGAAGGCUCAUUUGGAACUUGGAAGCAUUUCUUCGACAUGUAGUGUUGUCUUUUUGCUGUCCAAUAUCUUCUAAAUAUCAUAGACAUAUGUACACUUGGGAUUCGUUUUAUAAAUGGUCAAAAUACCAAAAUUGGUAAUUUCUUCCUCAUGAUAUUGCUUUAGGAUAAUAACGUUUUUGAUCUCAAAAUUCUAUUUUUGGUUCUCUUCUAUUGGAAUUGUUAGCGGAGAUAAGAAAUUAUUUCCUUGGUGGAAAGGAAGAUUAAAUGGAGUGGAGUUGGUAGUUGCCUUUAUUAAGUAGAGCUAUCAAUUGGUCAGCCACAUUGAAACAAGAAAUAAUAAUUGUAAGAUUGUCAGGCUGGUUGUUGUUUGUGGUUAAAUAUAAUGUAUUGCAGAGAUUCCUAUUGCUGCUAUAAGCACGUAACAGUAAUAAAUAUUCAUCCACAUUUGUUCAGCACAAGUAUUGCCAGCCUCGUACUCUGUAAAGUUGUACUUUUUCAAUAUAUCAUAUUCUAUGUAAUUUCAUAAGCGGGAUCUCGGGAGGUGGUGUCAGGUGUGUAUGCAGUCUUACCCCUGUCUUAGUGUAGAUAGAUAGAAUGUUUUCGAUAGAUCUUCUGUAUCGUCUUAUCGUUACCAUUUUCAAAAAAAAAGAAAAAGAUCUUCUGUAUCGUCUUAUUCUUUCAUUAUUUUCUUUUGCUUGAUAGGAUAGACAAACUAUAAUGUAUGAAGGUGACUACUAUGUAUAAUAUGCAUUUGAUUUCUCUUGCCUGCUCUUUUUAUUACUCCCUCCAUCCCAUUUUAUAUGCCAUCUCUUUCUAUAAAUAAUUGGUUCAUAAUACUUGUCAUUUCAUAAAAUCAAUGCAUAAAUUACUAUAUUGUUCCUUUUUUACCCUUGUGAGUUAUUAGCCUUGAAAAUAUACAUUUGACCAACUUAGAAAAACUAAGUAAAUGAUUCAUGUUCAUUGGUCAAAAUAAAUUAAUUCAUAUUCAUUGAUUGAAAACUUGAGUUUCAAAAAAAUUAUAUAAGGGUAGAAGGAUAAAGUUAUAUCAUUUUUUAAUGCAAGUGCAAAGUAAAAAUGUGAUAUAUAAAAUGAGACAGGAGGGAGUAAGUGUUAUUUUCGCAUUAAAUUAGAUAUAUUGGCCUAUGGCUUGGCCCCUGCUUGCAAGGCUGUGUGUACGUAUAUUAAAGAGCACCGCCACCUAUCUUGUACUUUUUCUAGGUUUAGCUUUUGAAUGAAUUAUAAGCUUGGAUAUAAGAAUCAUUCUCUCUGAUAUUAAUAUCUUAUUCAUCCGGUGUCCAAUAGAUGUACGUACAUCAUAGUAUUAAUAUCGAGUGCAAAUAAGUAUUUAUCGGCGUCUGCUAUCAUAGAGGUGCAUAUGGUUUUUAUUUAGUUCUUGGUGUGGAUGUGGUAGUUGACAUUAAUUGGUCUGAAAACAAACAUUAUUAUGCAUUUGACAUAAUGAUAAUUUACUGUGUUCUGAGGAAAAGAUAGGCCUAGAAAAUUACUAUUAUUUUCUUGGGAUUCUUCCAGCAGAAUUACUAUAUAUAGGUUAACCCUCCCCAACUACUCAUACUGUAUUUGUUAUUCCUUCCAACUGCUUUUAUUUACUAAUAAAUUCUGCAUUAAAUAUUAACAAGGCAUACUUUUGAAUAUUUAAUUUGUAGUACACCCUUCCAUCUAAUUUUCCAUAUUGUAGGACCAUUUUGUUUUCAAUGCUCGAAUCACUCUCUUUCCAUGUUUUUGGUGGACUACCAAGUUAAUGUCCUCCACACAAUUUUGGGAAAAACAAAGAAGUACUUGUAAUAUUCAUACUCCUUUCGUCUCAAAAUAAGUAUGGUUUUAGUUCAUUUUAUGUUUAUAAAAAGAAAAAAAAAACUCAAAACAUAAUCUAUAUUACCCUUAUUUAUUACUCCCUUGUCUCUAAUUACUUGUCCACUUUUGAAUUUUAUUUGUCAACUUUGGACUUUGCAUGCCCCUUAAGAAACAAUGAUUAAUAUGAGUAUUUAAAAAAAAAGAGUUUAUAUCCUUAUUGACAACCCUUUAUUUUAACUUUAUGUGACAUGUUUAAUACCACAAGAUAGAUUAACAUUUUGAUAUAUUUUAUAAAUAUUUAGUUUAAAAUCACAAGAUUCAUAUGUUUUGUUAAAGUCUAACAAACAAACAAAUUGAAAUAAAGAUUGACGGGACACGCACAAUUUCACGCAUUUUUUAUGUUUAGUGAGAUAAACAACUUUCUAGCUUAACAUUAUUGUUUAACCUUGUCAUAUGAUAAGGGUAUUUUGGAAAUUUGAGCCCUUUAACCAAUCCAUCUAUAUAUAUAUAUAUAUUAGAAACCCUUUAACCAAUCCAUCUCAAUCCACAACAUCUCUUUCAUUAGAAACAUAGUAAGCCAAAAAGAAAAAAUGUCUCUAGUGACAGAGGAGAUCAGAGCAAGUGCAACUGAAUUCUACACUGGAAAUGAUAUCUGCCAAGAGAAAUCAAAGUUGUUGCUGACUGAAGUAGGCCUACCAAAUGGCCUACUUCCUAUGCAAGACAUGUUAGAAUGUGGUUAUGUUAAGGACACUGGCUUUGUUUGGCUCAAAUCCAAGAAAAAAACAGAACACAAGUUUGAAAAAAUUGGUAAAUCAGUCCAAUAUGCAGCUGAAGUCACUGCCUAUGUUGAGCCCAAUAAGAUCAAGAAACUUACUGGGGUUAAAGCUAAAGAGCUACUUAUGUGGCUAACACUAAAUGAAAUAUGUGUUGAUGAGCCAUCUACUGGUAAAAUCCAUUUCAAGACCCCAACUGGGCUUUCUAGGACUUUUCCUGUUGCAGCCUUUGAACUUAAUGAGCCCAAAAAGGAAGUCAAAGAAGAAGUCAAAGAAGUGAGUGCUGUUGUUGUUGCUGCUGUGGAAGUGAAAGAGGUGUAAAAAGAAAAAAAACAAUAUAAUUUGUUUGCCUUAGUAUAAUCUAAUCUUUACUUAUUUUAUUAAACUUUGAUUAAAAAGUUAUUGUACUACUACUACUACUUAAGUUGAGGAUGGUGAUUAUCUAAUCCAUCUUUAUUGUACCCAUCAUCAAGUGGCUAAUUAUGUCAUCUUUUAUUUGAAUUUAGUGACAUUAUUAUUAUUAUUAAUAGUAAUUUCUUCCUCUUAAUUUUUCUUUAGGGAUAACAACAUUUUGAUCCUUCCAUCCAAAUUGUAAGCGGACAAAAGAAAUUAUUUCAUUGGUGAAAAAGAAAGAUCGAAUAUAUUUCAUGAAUGAAGGGGAGUUGGUAGUUGCCUUUAUUUAGAAGUGUUAUUAAUUGGUAAGCCACAAUGAAGCAAAAAAAUAAUUGUAAGCUUGUCCUGGUUGUUUGGGGUUAGAUGUAAUGUGUGUAAUCACUAUCGUAGAGAUUUCUAUUGCUACUAUAAGCAUUAGCUCAUUCAAGGUGUCUAAAAUCAAUUAAAGGCAUAUGAAAUUACUAAGCUACAACAAUCUAUUAUAUUAAGGGUGUCCAAAAUAUGUUAUUUAAUCAUUUCGUGUAUCAUUUUAUUUGUAUAUAUAGUAUUUUUCUCCGACAAAGGGUGUCCAAUUAGACACCCUGACUUACAUGUGCCUACACCCCUGCAUACAACAAUAGUUUUCUUAGGAUAGAUAGCUCAAUCAUAAUUAUUAAAAAUGGGCGAAAUGAUCUGAUGAACCCUUCUACUUGUAUUCGUUUGUAUUUUGGACCCUUUUACUUGACUAUUUGUCAACUGAACCCUUAAACUUAAUGAAACUCUAUGUUUUAAGCCCUUCUGACCGUUGACCAAGCUUAUGUGGCAGCUCAAUUAUUGGGUUGACAUAGAUGCGUGAUGUCAUGCUUAGAAGGAGUGUGACAGAUCAAAUUUUAGACUAAAAAUAUUUUUUUAAAAAUAGAAUAAAAAGAUCAAAAAUAAGAAAAUUAAUUUUUUUUAAGUUCUUUCUUUUUUUCCCAACCCAACCCACCCCUCCCCAUUUCUUUUUUUCUUUCUACUCUCAAACCCCCACUUCUCUUCUUUCUCACCUUUCCAGCCCUUUCCAAUUUCUUGUUUCUCUUCUCUUUUAUUUUUUCACAUUUUCUUCCUCUCGGAAUUAGAAACGAAAUUGUAUUGUUGUUGUAGAUCUGCAUUUUUCUUUUAUUUUCAGGGUAAUAUAACCCAUAAAGUGAUAAAGAUUCAACAGUUUUGAAAGAUGAAAAGUGAUUGUUGAAUGUUUUUGUGAAAUGUGUUAUGAAAAAUUGUGUAUUAAUAUUAAAGUGUAUUGAUGUAUUUUAAUAGCUAUUUGUUAACAUCAAUGGGGAAAAGAGAUUUAUGGUGGUUCAAGUGGUAGAUGUAAAUGUUAGUAAAAGAAAUACUAUUAAAAGUUGUGAAUGAAAGAAAUUUUGAAAAAAAAUCGAAUGAUAAUUGUUAGUUAUUUAGGAAUGUAAUGAUACUGGUGAGAAUGGAAGCUUGUGGUGGUAUCUCUAAUGUAAAAAAAAAAUGGAGAGAGGUGAAGGGAUGAAGGAGGAAUGAAGUAAAAAAGAAAGAAAAAACAGAUUUUUUUUAUUUAAAAAAAAAAAGUGAUGUGUCAUUUGAAAUGUGAUGUGGAUGAUGAUAUGUCAUUUUUGUCAAGCCUUUGAAGCUCACACACAUCGAAAAAGGUUUAAAAUGCUUAGUUUCAUUGAGUUUAAGGGUUCAAUUGACAAAUGAUCAAGUAAAAUGGUCCAUAAUACAAACUCAUACAAGUACAAGGGUCUAUCAGACCGUUAUACAAUCGUAUUUUUCCAAUAUAUCAUGUCCUGUGAAAUUUCAUAAGUGAGGUAUGAAAAUGUGUCUUACCCUGUCUUAUGAAGAUAAAAAAGUCAUUUUUAAUAGAUUAUUGGUAUAGUCGUAGAGAUCUUUCAUUAUCUUCUUUUGCUUCAUAAAGGAUAGACAAACUAUAAUGUAUGAAGGUGACUACUAGAGAGUAGACAUCAAAUUUGACGUUUACUGAGGCCCCCUUUAUAAUGUGCAUUUGAUUUCUCUUGCUGUUCUUUUCAGAAAAUGUGUACGUAAAUUAAAGAACACCACCUAUAUUCUCUACUACAUUUUUUAAAUACUUACGUGGUAUUUUUUCUAGGAUUAGCUUUUGAAGUUUUUACGUUUUCUUUGAAAUGGUUCUAGUUAAAUUAUAAGCUUGGCUAUAAUUAACUACUAUGUUAAAACGAAAACUUCAAAACAUCUUUGUAGUAUAAAAGAAUUUGGUGAAUUUCACUUUUAAUUUCCCUUUUUUCCCUUAAAAAAAAGUGCAAGAUCAGUAUGUUGCAAGUCAGAGGCAAAUCUAGGAUUUAAAAAUUUUGGAUUAUUUGAAAACUCCGAAUUCACUAAUAUUAAGCCAAAAAGGGAUAGUUGAUGUAUUUGCACCUUUUUAUGCUUUUCAUGAGAACACUAUUAAUUAUAUUUAGUUUCUAUCCCUUUCUCAAGAUAGAUAUACAUAUAUAAAUAAUUUUUCCAAAGUUAACGGGUGCACGUCCACCCCAAAUAUACAUGUGAGUUCGCCUAUGUUGCAAGUAGGCCUAGUUAGGAUAGGGUUCCGAAUUUCAAUUCCUACCCAUUUCUAGUAUGUAAUCUACAUUUUUCUAGUUAAAAUCAUUUUCUAUGCUAUUCAUUUCUUUUUCAUUAUGUUCAUUCAAUUCUCAGUAGAUAGAUAUACGACAUGUGUUUGCAUUCAAAAUUCAAAAUCCUAACGCCUAGCUAUGCUCAACAAAUAUACAUACUUAUUUCAUUUAUAAUUGCUAUAUAUGAUUUAGUACUAGUAUAAAUAAAUAUUAAAUGUGAAUAAGUAUUUAUCGGCGAAAAGAUUAGUCAUUUGACAUAAAUGACAAUUUACUGUGUUCUGAGGAAAAGAUAGGGCUAUAAAAACAAAUUUUGGGAUCCUCUUCAAAAUAAUUACUCCAGCAGAAUUUUUAUAACCCUCUCCAACUGCAGAAUUUUUAUAACCCUCUCCAACUACUCGCAUUACAUACUAUAUCUGUUCAAUAAUAGUUGUCCAUUAUUGACCUAACACACCUCUUAAGAAAUAAUAAAUAAUAUGGAUAAUAUUACUAUAUUAUUCUUUGACUUUACUUAAUUUAAUGAUUUGAAAAAUGUGUUAGAUGAUAAACAAUAUUGAAUAGCAAGGAUAAAAUAGACACAAAAGGUAAAUUAUCUUUUGAUUUUCUAAACUGGACAAGUAUUGUUAAACAACUAUUUUUAAUAUAUUGGACAACUAUUGUUGGACGGAGAGAUUAGGAUAGUUGUUUGCUACUGUAUUUGUUACUCCUUCCAACUGUUUUUUUUAAUUCUGCAUUAAAUGUUAGCAACCCCUUUUUUCAAUAUUUAGUUUGCUGUGACCUUCCAUCCAAUUUCCCAUAUUGUAGGUCCAUAUUUAAUUAUUUUUUUCAAUGCUCUGAUGAUCACUUUUUUCUAAUCUUUGUGGACUACCCACUUAAUUAAUGCCCUCCAUACAAUUUUGGGGAAAACAAAAAGAAGGUACUUGUAAUAUUGUAGAGUAAAUGACAUAAAUAGUCCCUCAACUAUAGGAGUAGAUAAAAAAUGGUCCCUGAACUAUACACUUAACAGAUUUAGUCCUUUAACUAUUUACAAAAUAUGUCAGCUUUGGUCCCUUAAUUAUACACUUAUCGGUUUUAGUCCCUUAAUUAUAAAUUUACCGAUUUUAGUCCUUUAAGUAUUCACAAACUUAUCAAGUUUGGUCUUUGUCCAUUUUUUAAAAUACAAAUAACUUUGAUUUUUAAUACGCACCAUCCUAAACUUUGAUAGUUUUUGUUCGAGAAACUUAUCAUGCAUCAUGAUAAUCAAUGCAAAUUUUAUUUAAUUUACUCAAAUUUCUUUACGUAAAAUAAAAUGAAUAGACUAAUAAAAUUGAUCUAUUUUAAAAAAAAGUUUAAAAAAUUGCAAAUCUACCAUUUUAUAAAUUACCAUUUCUGAAAAAUUAAACAAAUUCCAUUCAAUGAAGUUGGAGUACAAAUUUUGGAUUUAACGUGUAAUAAUUUUUUUCUUUUUAUAAUAAAGUUUAACAUAUUCAAGUCAUUAGUAACAAUAAUAUGCUUCAUUUUAUCCUCUGUUGAAUAAAAUUAUUAUUUAUAUUUUAAAUCGUUGAGGUUAAGGUUCUUCGCAUAAGGUUAAUUUGAAGAAAAAGUAACGGAGAGAGAACCAACAGAAAAAGUUGCUAAAAGAUUUAAUUUCUCGAGGCAUAGAUUCUGUUAAUAUAAACCUAAGCUAUUUGUAUUUAAAAAAUGGACAAAGACCAAACUUGAUAAAUUUUUGAAUACUUAAAGGACUAAAAUCGGUAAGUUUAUAGUUAAGGGACUAAAAUCGGUAAGUGUAUAGUUAAGGGACCAAAACUGACAAGUUUUUGAAUAGUUGAAGGACUAAAUCCGUUAAGUGUAUAGUUCAGGGACCUAUUUUAGAUCUACUCCUAUAGUUAAAGGACUAUUUAUGUCAUUUUCUCCAUGUAUUUCCUAUAAAUAUUGAUGCAAUGAAUAUAAGUAAUUGGCCUAAGUCAUCUGCGGCCCCUUAAAGUUAUCCGCAUAAUUCAUUUAGACACCUCAACUAGGGUGAGUACCUAUUGAACACUUUAACCUUAAGAAAUUUAUAUCUAUUAGACACAAAAUGAUAAUCAGUUGAAAAACAAAACUGCGUGUAACUCAAAUGCAAAUAUAUAAUAGGUUAUCCAAUGAAACAAUGACACGUGGCGGUUGAAUUCAAUUUAAAUAUUCCAAAAAGAAUUUUAAGAAAAUAAAAAUUAACUCUUUUAAUUAACACCCCCACCAUCCGUACGUCUUCUUCUUCUUUUUGUUUAGACCGUUUCCCCUUUCCGUCGGCGCCGACACGCAAAUAAAUCAUCGCCCCACUCUUUCAUUCCCUUUCAUCGGCAGCACCUCCUACCAUUGCCAUCAUUUUCUUUUGAUUAAUAAAUAUUUAUCACAGUUACAAGAAUUAAUAACAAUUUUUUGCCUGAAAAAUAAUUGAUUCAGUUUUCUUACAUCGGAAUAAAUGGAGUUUCGCUGGAAUAUUUGAAACCUGAAAAAAGAAGAAAAGAAUAGAAGAAUAAUUGGAGAGGGUGAGAGAGAAAGUUAGAGGGGGUGGGGUGGCAUGAGUUGAAAGGGAGAGAGAGAAAGUUGGAGGGGUGGGGUGGCAUGAGAGGCAACUGGAAAGUACAGAGAUGGUGGAAUGAUGUUGGAUGAAAAUCGUUGAGGCAUCAUCCUGUGAAGAAGAAGACGCCUUGCUUUUUUUUUAUAUUGUUAGUUAAUUUUUUUUUGGUUUCUUUAUUAAUUAAUGUCAAGGGUCAAUAAAGCAAAAAAAUGUAUUUUUUCAGGAAAAAGAAAAAGGAAAAUGUUAUUUGGGCAUCUUCACGCGCCCAUGGAAAGUGAAGAACACUUUUUUUGCCACAUCAGUAUUUUGUGCUUAAUAGAUACACGUUUUGAAUAUUUUAGGUGUUCAAUAGGUACUAGCUUUAGUUAAGGUGUCUAAGUGAAUUAUGCGGACAACUUUAAUGGGCUGCAGAUGACUUAGGCCUAAGUAAUUUAUUUGUUAAACACUUGCGGAGACGGCCGUUUUAUAUACGCAUCCACUCACCAAAUUGUAUUAUCAUUUGUCUAAUAAUAGUUGUCCAUUAUAUUAUUUUAAGAUGUUUAAUAAUACUUAUUCAUUUUAUGAAAUUAAUAGAUAAUUUUACGAUUAGUUUCUGAUUUACCCUUAUAAUUAUUUAUAGUUAUUUCCCUAUUAUAUUUUUCAAGACAUUGUAUUUAUUACUCUCUCCGUACAACAAUAGUUGUCCACUAUAUUAUUUUGGGAUGUCCAACAAUACUUGUCCACCUUAUGAAAUCAAUGAAUAAUUUUACACUUGCUUCCUAAUUUACCCUUAUCAUUAAUUAUAGUCAUUUCUCUAUUACAUUUUUCAAGACACUGUAUUUAUUAUAUUCAAAAGGUGAUUUAGUAAAAAUUUUCUUCUAUUUAUAAAUUAGCAGUGUGCAAAGUCAAUAGUGGAUAAGUAUUGUUGUACAGAACUCAGAAUAAGUAUAUUUAAAGGGUGAUAUAAUAAAAUUAUCCUUCUAUUUAAAGUUUUUUUACAAAUGUGCGAAGUCAAAAUGAACAAGUAUUGUUGGACAGAGGGAUUAUUAGUUAAUAUGCUAAUAUAAUUAAUUGACAUCGAUCAAAUAUACAAAUCAGUUAUAUAUAUCUCUCGUAUCUCCUCUCUCCCAGAUUUCACUUCUCUCUCUCCUCCUUUCCCUAUCUCAUUCAUCUCUCUACUUCUUAUAACAUGUAGCUAUGAAUCGUAAUUAACUUAUCUAUACCUAAGGAGGCUGAUUUAUAAUCUUAGUUUUUUUUGAAAUUUCCUAUAAAAAAAAUCCUCCAAGUUUCUGAUUUGCUCUUUAAAUUGUCAAUUUCUUUUUUUUUUUAAAACAUUACUAUUGUUUAAUGUAGGCAUAUCAUAAGGGCAUUUGAGAAAUUUAAGCCAAAACCGAAGGGUAAUCUCUCAUAUUGACAUCUAUAUAUUAGAAGCCUUUUUGCCAAUCUAUCUCAUUCAUUACAAAGCAAAAUAUCCAUUGCAAAAGAAAGUAAAAAAAAAAAUGUCUCUAAUAACAGAGGAGAUCAGAGCCAGUGCAACUGAAUUCUACACUGGAAAUGAUAUCUGUCAAGAAAAAUCAAAGUUCUUGUUAACAGAAAUGAACCUCCCAAAUGGUGUUCUCCCUAUGCAAGACAUGUUAGAAUGUGGCUAUGUAAAAGACACUGGCUUUGUUUGGCUCAAAUCCAAGAAUAAAACAGAGCACAAAUUUGAAAAAAUUGGAAGAUCAGUCCAAUAUGCAACUGAAGUCACAGCUUAUGUUGAGCCCAAUAAGAUCAAGAAACUUACUGGGGUUAAAGCUAAAGAGCUACUUAUGUGGUUAACACUUACUGAAAUUUGUGUUGAUGAGCCAUCCACUGGUAAAAUCCAUUUCAAAACCCCAACUGGGCUUUCUAGGACUUUCCCUGUUUCAGCCUUUGAACUUGAUGAGCCUAAAAAGGAAGUUAAAGAAGAAGUCAAAGAGGAAGUGAAAGAAGAAGCCAAAGAAGUGAGUGCUGCUGCUGUUGCUGCAGUGGAAGUCAAAGAGGUUUAAGAAAAAAUAAAUUGAUUUGCUUAUUUUAUUGAGAAAAAAAGAAGUUUUAUUUUGAUUUAAAAGUUGUUGUUUUACUACUACUACUACUUAAGUUGAGGAUUAUGAUUAUGAAUUCAUCUUGAUGUACUCAUGAUUAUGAUCAAGUGGCUAAAUUAUGUCAUCUUUUCUUUGAAUUUAGUCACAUUAUUAUUAAUAAACUUAGUUUAAAUCAAAAGUUCAUUUUUCAUUAGUGUUGGUUAUAUUUUCUUAUAAUCAAUCAUGAUUUCUGAAUCUAUGCUUGAUUCCAAAUCUCGAAGCAUUUAGUCAAUUACUAAGACUCACUAACAAGAUAAAAACUUAGCUAAUCGAUCAACUAAGCUAUCGUAUUAUUUCUUUUGUUACGUGUUUCAAUUUUCAAUUUUCAGUUUCUUUUUGAGAAUAUGUAAUUGCAACAACAUUGAGAUGCAAAUUUGUGUUAGGGUGGAAUCAAGAAUUUUAAAUCAUUAAAGCUCAGAUAACUAUCUUGAGGGACAAUAAUAAUAAGAAGGGUACUCUAAUAUUUGAGUGGUACACUUUGUGACAGAUAUGGCUAAUGACAUUAAAUUAAACCACGGGUUAUAAGCUAUCUUUCUCCAACUUGACGGCUUGCUGGGGAAUUAAAUUCAUAUAAAUGGGCUAAUAUAUUGAGAUGACAGAUCAAGUUUUAAUAUAUAUAUAUAUAGACUCCCGCCGAUUUCUGAUUUUGACGUGACAUGAUGUUUAUGAAAAUAAAGAAUUGUUUUGAAUGUUGUGAUCUUACACUAAAGAUAUAUAGAAUAUACCAAAAAUAUCUUAGUCUUAAACAUGUAAUGUAGAAACUUAGAAUUAAAAGUACAAAAAAAAAGAAUCAUUUUUUUUUAAACGAACAAAAAAGAAAAGUAAGAUAAAUAAAUUAAAUUGAAGAAAUUACUUUUACGAAAUAAAAGAAAAAUAAUUAUCACAAUAAAAAUAAGACUCAAGAACACACAAUUCAUAAAUGCUGGCCUAAAAAGUAUUGAGUUUGGUAAAAAAAUAAAAAAAUCAGUGAGAGGAUUCCAAUCGUGUAGAAAAAGAAGAAAGAUAGAAUACGUUUGAGAAGAAUUAAAAAAAAAUGGCUUGGACUAAAGUAGGUGUCCUAAUUAAAAUCAUCACCUAACAAUUAUUGAUUGGUACCUAACUCAUAAUUAAGACAUCAGCAAUGAAUAAUUAUCAGUCUUGUUGUUGGAAAAUACCAACAGUACACGUACAUUUUUUUUAUUACUUACAUGUCGUGUUUCUCAUUCUUCUUAAUUUUUUAAAAUUAAUUUGGAGAAGUUUUUGAUUAUUUUCCCCCUUUUCGUGUUUUACUACUAAUAUAUAAUCUCUCUAUUUGUCAUUCAUCAUUCGAUAAUUAAAGUAUUUAUAGUGUUUAAGAAUAAUUAUCACUAAGAUAAAAUGGUAAAAGAAUACUUUUUCCGUCUCAUUAUAAAUGUUACUUUAAAAAUUUAAGAUAAAAAAUAUUUACAAUAGUGAGAACUUAGUAAAUGAUAGAUUAUAUUUAGUAAAUAUUUUUAAAAAUCAUAACAGACGAUUUGUGGCGGAGGGAGUAUCAAUCUGCCACUUUUUAUUGCCCUCCCAAAAUUGAUCAAGUUGCUGAAUUAGAACUAUUGGUUGUUUAAAAACUAAAAAGUAAUGUAAAUUACAUGAAAGUGCAAUUUGGCUACAUUUACGGGAUGCAAAGUUUAAUUAAUUUUUUCAGCUAUAUUUGUUCUAUUAACUUCUUAGUUCACAUCUUCAAAAAAAGAAAUAUAAACGUUAUUAUUAUAAUAAUACGAAGAAAAACGUGCUACUCUUUUUGUAGUAAUCUCAACGGCCAUUGCUAUCAAAGUCAGAGCAACCCAGAAAAAAGUGAUCCAUAAGAAUCUAAUGUACAACAACCUUACCCUCCUUUUGUAUAAGAGACUCUUUUCACAGCUCAAAUCCGUAAUCCCCUGAUCAAAUGACAAUCAACUUUUGAAAACGUAUAAAUACAUAGUUUAAAAUUACACUCCGAUAUAUGUGAUGAUCUCCUUCGAGUACGUUCAUACAUAGGAUAAACUCAAAUGAUAGAACUGACAAUGUUAAUAAUAUUUCCGCCCCAUAACAUUAAGAACAAAAGAAGUACAAAUUUAUAUAAGUGCAUGAAUCUUGAAGUUGACAACAACUGAUGUUGUCCGUAGGCUUGGAUUACACUAGAGCAGUCUAUACACACAAUUUAACUUAGCACAACAAUAUUGACACACCUGUAAGGCUUCUCUAAAGGAGUACAGGGUUCAUUUUCAAAUUCUUGAUAGGCCACAAUCUUUCUAAUCCACACAUCCUAAUAUAUGUUACAAACCUGAGCAGACCACAUUAUCCGUUAAACCUACAGAGGCAAGUAAAUGAAAGAUUAGAUAUGGCUAAACUUGAAAACUUACUUAAUAAAGUAUUAUUAAUCAAGAACCUCAAUGCAAACAAUUCACAUACGCAACACUAAAUUAGCUCGAAAGUUGCACAAAAAUGGAUGUAGUAAAGACACUGUGACACACUCGAACAAUACGUGAAUCAACCUUACUAAGCUUAGGAACCAUGAGUUGGAAGUAAGCUAUUGAAACAAUGAAAUGAAGUACAAGAUUCUUGUUUCAGGUAAGAGAGACUUAUUAAUCAGUAGAGGAAAGGAGGUCGAGAAAAUAUGCAAAAAAAUUACAUAGAUGUUGGAAAAGCAUGCAGGCCUAAGGGACAGAGUAAAGAUACAAAACAAGAACUUAAACUUCAAAAGGAGCGGUUGAAGUAACUUCUGUAUGGUCAGGAAUCCCUGCUUGUUGGUGCAUAGAAGGAUUUUUAGAUGAGGAACACAGUUGUUAGUCCUUUGUAAAUAAGGAACCCUAAGUAGUUAAAAGAAUAGUCGCCACACCAUGAAGGAAUGACAUAAGGGCAGCCUACAUUUUGGGCAUGAGCCCCUGAGUACAGUCAAGAUAAGAGAAAGCUCUGCUGCUCAUUAGUCCUGUAAGAAUGUUACUUGGGACCAAGGCGAGCCCGCAAGGGGAAGGAUGGACACUAGAUGCCUGAUGGGACAAGGGGAUAAGCUGGAAUAGGCAGCCCAAACAAGGCAUUACCGGGGGAAAUAGGCAAAAGAGAGAAAGGGUGAAAAAAUUUGUUUACUGAUUUGCAAGACAACCAGAUAAAAUAAAAUCAAGAGAUGAGAAAUCAAGGCAACUUGACAAACCGUUUUAAAAACAAAAGGAGCUUUGUUAAAAUGAACACAUGGCAGGUAGUAAAAGCUAGAACAGUCUGAAAGCAAAGGCAACUAUAUCUAUAAUCUAUAGUCGUAGUUGAUAGUAGCUAAAAGCGCCUCAGAGUCUAGGGGAAUGAUAAAAGAGAAUAGGGAUCAAAAGGAUGAUUUAAGACAAUUAUACCAUGAGAAUUGGGGUUAAGGGGCCAGAGAUGGUAUACAUAGAGGUGCAUGUUACCUCAAGACAGAACUUGGUUAGCCUCACUACAGUUUGAAGAGAAAACUAGAAUUUCACACUAAGAAAACCAUUGAAUUGUUUUACUUGAGCUGAGGGUCUUUUAGAAACAACCUCUGCCUUCACAAGGUAGGGGUAAGGAUCUGCGUUCACACCACCCUCCCCUGAGCCACUUGUGGGAUUACACUGGGUGUGUUGUUGUAAAACUGUUGGAAUCAACAAUAGCAAAAAACCAAUUUUUAGACCCAUUAUAAAUAAAGCACUAGACUAUACUUUUGCCACCAACAUAGGAUUUUUCCAACUCCUCAAAUAGGAAGAUAAGUAUGUACCUAACAUACAUUUCUACCACACUAUAUACAUCACAACUUCAGUACAAGAUGAAUAAUGAACAAAUGACUAAGAGAAAAGCAUAUACCAUUAAGAAGCCACACUACAAAUCCUGAUUGCAGAUCUUCCAACAUUGCAAUUUCUCGAAAAUCACAACUUUAAUGCCUGGAAAAUCAAGUAUGUCAAUAUUGAUCAAAUUGAAUGUAAGAUACACAUCUAAGUAGUAUGUUGAUAGCUUUAAGAUAAUAAUAUUAGCUAAGGAGUUUAUAUGUGCAGCAGUGUAUUAGUCUAGUUCACAUACAAGUACCAAAUAUCUCUUCAGAAAUGUUAGUCAUGAAAUUGAAGCUUAUUACAGGAACUCUUAGGGCUAGUGGGCAGUGGAUAUCAGCUAGAGCAAGGAGAAGUAACCAAAUGUGUAUGAACAAGUUACCAUACUGAACAAGAUCUAGGCAGUCUAUGGCAGCAAGCUCUGGAUCCUGUCUCUUUAGAAUCACAUAUAUUGUGGUGAUCCAAAAAUUGGCGUAAAAGCAUCUAGGAUUUGUUUAGGGAUAGAGGGUAUACAGAGAGAGAGAGAGAGAGAGACGGGGUUUGUUCAUGUUAGGGUCAGGGGGGAUGGGUGGCCGGAACUCUGUUCCUCCAAUAUAAGAGCUAUCUAACAUUACAGUAUCACCAGUGUUUAGCUAGCUGGAGUUCAGAUUUCAGAAGGUCUAUGAGUACAUACAUACUUGAAGGAAGGAAACAGAACCUGCAAAUUACUUUCCAGUUUAUUAGCAAGUUUACCUUCACGAGUCAUUUUGCCAUCAUAUAUAGAUCAAAAAGCAAUGUCACAUAACAAUAAAAGAAAAGCAGAUCUUUUUCCAGGACAGAAUGUGUGGUCUUCCAUGCCAAGGAAAAAUUUAAUCUAAUUCAUGGAUUUUUAAUUCGGUCAUCCAGGAAACUGUACCUGGGAAGCUCUGACCCAUUUGCCAUUGGUCCAGUCCAGAUGCAGCCGUAUAUCAGCAUGCUUAAACUCCAAUUCCUCGUUGCUCGCCUUAAAGUAAACCUUGUAUCUCUGGCCUUUAAGUACUUUAGAAAUCACACCCACCCACCAGCCAUCAUUGUGCAGAGCAUCAACUUCUUCAAGGACUUUGAAGCUUUCAAAAGAUCCAAUAUCAGGUGGACGAGGUCGUAUAUGCAAACGAUCAGUUUCUUCUUGCAAAAACGCUGUAUCGUCAUUGUUUCUUAAGGUCUGAUACUCUAUCAGGUAGUUACCAUUAUCUAAAAACUUGACAAUAGUUGCAACAAACCAAGCACCCUCAAAACCUUCUUCAUCACUGCUGACUUCGACUAAUGACCCUUCGCUAAAAAUUUCUGCAGCUUCGUUGUUGGGUUUUGUUUCAGUAGAUACAAGUUUCUGUAUUUCAUGCCGAAGUCAAAAUAAGUGGGGAGAGAAACGAAACAAAUCAAAAAGUGAAACACAAAAACAGAAUUGAGAGUUUUUGUCAAACAAAACGGGGAGAGAGAAGAAACAAAUCAAAAAGUGAAACACAUGAACAGAACUGAGAGAAAGUCUGAAACUUGAAAAAUGUAUGCCCUAUUUAAAUAAUUUUUGUUUAUGUGUUAUCUCAUACAGACAUGUACGAAUUACAAUCAUGAAAAGAAAUGGUAAAUAUAGACAUAUUUCAGAUGAACUCAAGUGCCAGAUUUGCUCAUCAGUUGGAUAUAAUAAUAGAAACAUGCUUCCAACUCCCAUUUUGUUUCUGGGCGCAUGCGUUUAGCAUCUAUGCUGAAGCUAGAUUGGUCACAAGAGAUGUCAGAAGCCUGGCUUAAAAUAAUUAUUUUUAUCAAUGACAAUACCAUUUAUACUCCUAUAUACUUGCAUAGUCAUCUCAUACUACUUCUUUUCAAUAGUAUUCCACCUGAGUGGUAAAGAGGAUUUGAUUAAUGAUGCAGAAUCUCUGUUAACACACCACUUAAAUCCAUGUUGAUUUGAAGUGAAGCUGUAUCGUUUUGUAAAUAUUCAAGCACAAUUCGUGUUGCUUGUAAAGAUAUGACACUUGGGGCCUAACUCAACCCCAAAAGAUAGCUCAUGAAGGGAGGAUUGCCCAAGUCCAUAUAAGGAUACCACCAGUCCAUUCCCCAACCAAUGUGGGACAUUUACCCACUCUAACACCCCCCUUCACGCCCAGGCCCAACUGGAGCGUGGACCGGGAGCCCAAACGGGGAUGGACCUGGCUCUAAUACCAUGUAAAGAUAUGGCACCUAGGCCUAACUCAACCCCAAAACUAGCCCAUGAGAGGAGGAUUGCCCAAGUCCAUAUAAGGAGACCACCAGUCCAUUCCCCAACCAAUGUGGGACUUUUACCCACUCUAACAGCUUUUAUGAUAUUCAAGUUGCAUCUCUGGAAGAAUGUGACUCUAACCAAAGUGGAGUGUUUCACUUGGUUGGUAUCCAAAAGAGCAUGCUUGAGUCAUGAGGCUCUGCAAAAGAGAGGCAUCAUUGCCUCAAGGUAUUUUUUGUGCAAAUAAGCUCUAGAGACACCUAUUUCUUCACUAUAAGGUAACACAACAAAGGUUUGGGCCUAAGUUGUGUGGACUCUUCACUUUCAAUGCCGCACCCGUGUUGGAUUCUUCAAAAAUACACUACUUUAGGAGAAACCUACAUGCAUCCGUUGACAUUUUUGAAGAGUCCGAGCAACAUAGAUUUGGGCCCUUUUUUACCAGCAUAGCCAACAUAUACUGGACCAUGCCAGAACAUACAUCAGGCCUGCUAAGCUGCUGGAUUAGAAGGGGAGGCAGCAAGAGUCAGAAGAGAUGGUGGAGACCAGCUCUAACUUGCAUAUGGUGGAUCAUAUGAAAAGUAAGAGAAUUUUUUAAGGGAAAGAAUGUACUAUAGAAAAGACUAAAUGGGAAGUUAUUACUUCCUUAGGCUUUUGGUGUAAAGUACAAGAUAUAGAUGAAGAGAUCCAACUAGUAGAUUUUAUAACCUACUAAUUAGUACUUCGUUAGGCUUAGGCUUUUGUAAGUAUUCUAUCUUCUCUUUUCUUUUGUAAUACCUUUUUGGAGGCUACCAGCAUCGCCCUUAAUGCCGAGGAAUACAAAAAGUUACCAGUUUCAAAAAAAAUAAAGGUGAGAAACUAGCAAGUAGACUUCUUUUAACUUUCAAGUUUCCCUUGAUCAGCUGAAAAUAAAAACACCCUAUCCAGGAAGUGUAAACUGAUUCUACUCAGAAAGCUGUUAGAUUCCCCUAUAUCUGCGAAGUUCCAAUGCAUAUUGAUAUAUCCUCCCUCUCAAGUCUUCAAAUCAACUAUCCCAAGAAAUGCAACAGAUUUAAACUGUAUCCAAAGAACUUAUAGAGAGUAUUUUCUAGUCCAACUUUCUUAGCUUCUGCUAAGUAAAUUGGGAGCUAAAACACAUUGAUAACCCUAAAGAGCCUAAAAGAAAAGUAAGAACCCAGAUAACGCCAUUCAAGCAAGAAUUUGCAAGUUCUCUAACACAUUUUAUUGAUUAAAGGAAACUCAUAUCCGAGACGAAAAAGGAACUUACCUCCUUUCUUUUUUUUUCUUCUCCUUCGUCCCCAAAUGGUGGGGUCCACUCACCAUUGGCCCAUUCACGAUGGAUCCGUAUCCGAGAUUCCUCAAAUUCCAGCUGGUCCCUUGUUCCCCUGAAGAACACAGAGUACUUCCCAUCACUUGACACCUCCAUGACCACACCCUCCCACCACCCAUCAUUGUAAUAAGCAUCCACCUCAUCACUGACCUUGAACUUCCUCCUCCGUUCAGGUGGCGGCCGUGGCCGCAGCUGAACUAAGGUCAUUGCCUCCUUCAAUGGCCGUUUACCUUUUUUAUCCGCCAUCAGUGUUUUGUACUCCACCAAUACCCGCAGCUUAUUGCUACUCUCGUCGUCGUCGUCGUCGUCUUUAUUCGUCCUCUGUUUCUUCUGAAUGGGUCGUACCACUAUUCCCUCAUACCACGAGCCUCGGAAACCGUCCUCAUCACUGCUAAUCUCAACUUCUGCGCCAUUUGAGAAGUAAGUAUUGAGCAUUUCAGUUUCAGUUUCCAUGGCUGCAAGAAGAUGAAAGGAAGAUUCUUGAGUUUUGGCGGUUAUAUGAGAUUUGAAAGAAUUUUAUUAUGGCGGAGAGAAGACUGACAGACAGACGGUGAAGAAGAAUGACAAGUUUUGGCCAGAUUGUUUUGGGGGUUGGUGGCAUAUUUUAACUUUUUUUAAGGGGUCGUUUGGUGCUCGUAUGCAGGGUAUUAGUAAUACAUGAAUUAUUUACAAGGAGAUUUAUAUAUUAUUUAUUAGUUAUUCAUGUACUAUUAUUUAUUGCAUAGAUUUCUACAUAAUUUAUAUAUGUAUUAGUUAUGCGAGUUUUUAAAUGGUAUAAUAUAUAAACAUGACCCUUAACUUGACGUCAGUUGACAACUAUGACCUUUAACUUUGGGUGUACACAAAUAGACACUUAAACUUGUAUAAAAUUGAGCAAAUGGACACAUUCGUCCUACAUGACAAUUUUGUGUCCUACAUGGCGUCUUACAUGUAUUGUGCCAUGUAGGACACUUGUGUCUACUUGUUCAAUUUCAUACAAGUUUAAGUGUUUGUUUGUGCACAUUCAAAGUUGGAGAACAUAGUUAUUCGUUGAAGUCAAGUUAAAUGUCAUGUUUAUGUAUUAUGCCCUUUUAAAUUGCAAUCAAACAUUGCAUAACUUACCUCCUAGCUAGUUAUUAAAUGUGGCAUUACUUAUGCAUCAUUUAAUACUUACAUAAAUCAUCUCCAAAUCAACUACCAAACAAUCCCUUAUAAUUUUGAAAUAGGGUUAAUUUUCCAAAAUCGUCUUUUUACCUUCACGGAAAAAAAAAAGAAUAAACAAUGCCUAAGCUAAAUUCUACUCAACCUCACUUAUGAAACUACAUAUUAAUAUUGCACUUUUUGAAAUAGCAUUAUUGCAAACAUAUGAUAGAUAGUCCUUUAAACAUGUCCUCUUUUUUUUCCUUCCAUUUUAACACUUAAUUCUAGGAGUUUAAUCUAUUAAACACCAUUUUAAGUUUGACUUUGUAGCCAAAUUAUUUUUACAUCCCUUAUGUAUUUGGUACUUUUACAUCAUAAUCUUUCUCUAAAUAUGUUAUGCACAUUUCUUCUGUUUUAAAUUAUUUUUCCACUAAUAAUACAUAUAAAAAAUUAAUUGUAUCGUCACAUGUUUCAUUCACUUUUUUUAAAAAUAAUUAAAAUAUAGUUGUACCCUAAAUGUCAAAUUAUCCUAUGUAUUUUUCUCAAUCGUUAAGUUAGAGACCAUGGAUAAAAGCAAUAAUCAUCGCUCUUAACCUUUAUACAAUUUUUAAUUCAUAACGAUUUCUCUUUAACAACUCUAGCAUAAAGAGUCGAAUAGAGAAGGACAGCAUUAAAAAAAAAGUUAACAUUUGAAAUCAAUGUGCAUAAAAAUAAAAUAACUCAAUAACCGAAGCAAUUAAAACGUUGUUGAUUAGGUGAAUUGCGAAGAUGGAAGUGGUAGGAUAAGAAAGCUUUCUAACCUUGUUGGGAGCGUUAUCCUUGAGUGGGUUCUGUAAUAUGCGAUUUGAAAAUCUAAUCGGCGCUUCAAUACAAACUCCAAACACCAAAUAGGAAAUCAAAAAAAAUGUUCUCUAACCUUGUGCUAAAGGGUCCCUAAGUUUUAUUUAUUUAUAUUUAAUGAAGCUUUGAAUCUAAAUUAUUUAAAUAUUAAUUUAUUUAGUGCAUUUGCUUUUCUUCUCUUCUUUCACAAUUAAUUCCCAAUUUUUAAUAGGUUUAAAUUAUUCAAAUUUUAUAUACAGUCUUAAUAUCAUUAAAAUAUUUGUUGGAGAUUGAUAUUUUGUCGUGUUUUUGUAAAAUACGAGGGAGUGGAAACGAUGAGUGGCUAGUAGUAAUUUGUUACUUCCGUCUAUUUUUAAUUGUUAUAUUACACUUUUUAAAAGUCAAUUUAAUUAAUUUUUAAAGUUAAAUUAGAUUAUAAUAAUUUGAUAUUUUAAAUAAAAAAUUAAGAUAUUCAAAAACUAUACAAAAAGUACUAUAAAUUAUAGUAAUAUUUUGCAUAUCAAUAUGAUGAAAAAAUACAUCAUAAAAUGUUAGUCAAAGUUUUACCGUUUGACACUAAAAAAGAAAUCAUGACAAUUAAAAGUGGACGAAUGUGGUAGUAAAUAGUCACUUCACCCGUCCCAAUUUACGUAGUAUCUUUAAAAUUUUGAGAUUCAAAUAAGUCUAUUUUUUAUCGUAAUUUUGAGAAUUAUCAAUUAUUAUGACUUAUACUACUUUCUCCUACUUUUUACGUAAUUUUUAAAAAUAUGUUAAUACUUCAAAAAAUUUAUCUCUAAAUACACUAUAAAACUUAAAUUAUAUGACUUUCGAAAUUCGAAUUAGUAUUAUUUUAGUAAGUAAUUUGUUUCAAGCAUAAGAGAAAUUGAAGGGACUGACCGAAAACUGAUGCUAGUGAAUUUAAUUUAAAUAGAUCCCCCUGUUCUCGCAUAAUAUCAAAACAAGAAAGGCGCGAAAAACAAACUGGAAAAACCCAAAUAGAAAUCUCCGAUCCUCGGAACUCAAUGCUCCGGCGACAUCUCCGGUCACCUCAAUUUUCCACCAUUUUUUUUAUAAUCCAUAGCUCUUUUCAUUACUUUAACAAACAAGGACAUAGCUAUAUGAAUUUGACAAAGGUAUGUGCCUUUUCACCCUUCAAGUCAAAUUUUGUUCAAAGACUCACCUCAAAAAUAACCAUAAACCUCUCAAUCUUGGAGGUUCUUCUGCUAAAAUGCCAAAAUUCUAAGCAUUUUGGGCAAAUUCUUUCACAAAUGAUCUCCACUGGGUUCAUCAGAGAUACAUAUGCUGCAAGCAGGAUUCUCAAGUUUUCCACUGACUCACUUUUCAUUCACGUUAAUUACUCUCAUAAAAUCUUCGAUUACAUAGAUAAUCCAAAUGGGUUUAUUUGUAAUACCAUGAUGAGAGCUUAUUUACAGCGAAACCAGCCUCAAAAUACAAUCUUUUUGUAUAAAUCAAUGUUGAAAAAUAAUGUAUGUAUUGAUAAUUAUACGUUUCCGCUUCUGGUUCAAGCUAGCACAGUUAGAUUGUCCGAAGCCGAAGGAAAAGAGUUUCAUAAUCAUGUUAUUCAAACGGGAUUUGGUUCGGAUGUUUAUGUUAAGAACACUUUGAUUAACAUGUAUGCUGUCUGUAGAAACUUGAUUGAUGCAAGGAAGAUGUUUGAUGAAAGUCCUGUUCUGGACUCGGUUUCGUGGAAUUCGAUACUGGCAGGUUAUGUUCAAGUUGGAAAUGUUGAUGAGGCAAAAGUAAUUUUUGAUAAGAUGCCUAUGAAGAAUGUUAUUGCAUCCAAUUCUAUGAUUGUAUUGUUGGGUAGGUCUGGUAGGAUGAGUGAGGCUUGUCAAUUAUUCGAUGAAAUGAUGGAAAAAGAUGUGGUUUCUUGGACUGCUUUAAUUUCUUGCUAUGAGCAACAUGGGAUGUACACACAAGCGUUGGAUUUGUUUAUGCAAAUGUGUUCUAAUGGAAUUUCCAUAGAUGAGGUUGUUGCGGUAAGUGUGCUGUCUGCAUGUGCACACUUGUUGGUUGUUCAAACUGGUGAAUCAGUACAUGGAUUGGUUAUAAGAGUUGGUUUUGAAUCAUAUGUCAACCUUCAAAAUGCUUUAAUCCAUAUGUACUCUACCUGUGCAGAUGUAAUGGCUGCACAAAGAUUGUUUGAUACGAGUAGUCAUCUGGACCAGAUAUCGUGGAACUCAAUGAUCUCUGGCUACUUGAAAUGUGACUCUCUGGAGCAGGCUAGAGAAUUAUUUGAUUCCAUGACUGAGAAGGAUGUUGUGUCAUGGACUACAAUGAUUUCUGGUUAUGCGCAACAUGAUCAUUUCUCAGAGACUUUAGCACUGUUUCAGGAGAUGCUGCAUGAGGACAAUAAGCCUGAUGAAACUACUUUGGUCAGUGUUCUUUCGGCUUGCACCCACUUGUCUGCCCUUGAUCAAGGAAAAUGGAUUCACGCUUACAUACGAAAGAAUGGGCUCAAAGUGAAUAGCAUUCUUGGCACAACUCUUCUUGACAUGUACAUGAAAUGUGGUUGUGUGGAGAAUGCAUUGGAAGUCUUCAAUGGAAUGGAAGAAAAAGGGGUGUCUUCUUGGAAUGCUUUAAUUCUUGGGUUGGCCAUGAAUGGGCAGGUGGAAAGAUCACUAGACAUGUUUCAGAAGAUGAAGGAAUGUGGUGUAACCCCUAAUGAGGUUACUUUUGUCGCAGUUCUUGGUGCCUGUCGACAUAUGGGACUGGUAGAUGAGGGCCGCUCCUACUUUAAUGCUAUGACCAGACAUUACAAUGUUGAACCUAAUAUCAAGCACUAUGGAUGCAUGGUUGAUCUACUUGCUCGUGCAGGGUUGCUCAAAGAAGCUGAGACACUUAUUGACAGUAUGCCUAUAGCUCCUGAUGUUGCCACUUGGGGUGCUCUUCUUGGAGCUUGCAGAAAACAUGGUAAUAGUGAAAUGGGGGAGAGAGUUGGAAGGAAGCUCCUUGAACUUCAGCCAGAUCAUGAUGGAUUUCAUGUGUUACUGUCCAACAUAUAUGCUUCAAAGGGUAAUUGGGAUAGUGUUCUGGAUAUUAGAGUAGCAAUGACGCGGCAGGGGGUUGUUAAAGUUCCUGGCUGCAGUAUGAUUGAAGCAAAUGGUGCUGUUCAUGAAUUCUUGGCAGGAGACAAGUCUCAUUCCCAGAUAAAUGAAAUUGAAGAAAUGUUGGCUGAAAUGGAAAAACGGUUGAAAAUAAUGGGCUAUGCCCCAGACACAGAUGAGGUUUUACUUGAUAUUGAUGAGGAAGAAAAAGAAAGUACCCUGUUUAGACAUAGUGAAAAGCUUGCAAUUGCCUAUGGGCUCAUUGCUAUCGCUCCUCCUACUCCUAUAAGAAUAAUCAAGAACUUACGAAUAUGUAGUGAUUGUCACGCAGCAGCAAAACUAAUAUCAAAAGCUUUUGAUCGGGAAAUUGUGGUGAGGGAUCGGCAUCGGUUUCAUCAUUUUAAGGAUGGCUCUUGUUCCUGCAUGGAAUUUUGGUAGCUAAUACCCUGUUAUUGGCCCUUAAAGAACUAUUAUGAAGGUUGUUCAACUUGAAUGCCUCAAUCUUCAACAUUAACAGGCCAAUGGCCUCCAUUCAUGAAUGACCUGUGCAUAGGCUCCAACAAGGCUAUCAUCUCCCAUAUGGCCAAACCUGCAUGAUAAUUCAAUCUUCAUUUUGUUGACACUGACCUUGGAUAUGGAUCUUAAGGCAAGGGUUCUGAUGCUUACACUGUCUUUCACUCCUUGAGUUCCCAUUUUCUUACCAGAUCUCCACAUAUUUCAGAUUGUGCCAUCUGAUUAUCUUAAUUAAUUAGAUUCUGGACUGUAACAUAAAAGGAGCUCAUUGUCAAAAUUGAAAUUUUUGGUCACUUACUCUUCUAGGACCCAAGUAUUUGUAUAAUCUUGCGAUGUUACUGCAAUGUGACAUAGUAAUAUCAGUAUAUCACCUUGCAGUGACUGGAAUAAGUCUUAAGUAUCUAAUAAUGCACUUGAAUAGUUGAAUUAGAGUUGGGGGCCGCCACCUAAAGUGCAGUGGAAGCUUGUGUGAUUUCUCUAUAAGCAGCUUAUUUAUGUAUUAAUCAAAGCAUUUACCCCAUUCUUGAAGAUUUGAAGCUGAACAGGUGAAUAUAGGUUGUCACUUGUCAGUAAUAGAAGAAGAAUUGACCUGUUUCAUUGUUAUGUUUUCCAGGUAUCUUUACAGUCGAUGGACAAGGAGUUGUAGAUUUGAUUUCCUUGAACUGAAUAGGAGAGAUAACCAUGGACUGUUGAUUUUUUAGCAUACAGAAUAAGGGUGCAUUUCUAUGUUAAUUUUGCAGUGUGUUGAAGAAUUUCAGUAGUAGUUAAUGAACAAGUUUAUGCAUACAUGGUGGAAGCAAAUGCGUUGGGGCUACCAGUGGAAUUAUACUGCCAAAUAUACAAGCAAUACUCUUGUAAAACUGGCAUGUAACAUGACAUUCUUAUUUCUCAAAAUCAUGACUUGUUCUGUAGAUAAGAUAGAGAAUGUGAUACAAAGCAGCAAAGAAGGUUUCCAUGACCUUGAGCCUGUAAUGUUUGUAUUUUGCUCCCUUUCUAGUUGUAUGAUGUAUUUUAUCAACUGGAAAAAUGAAGUUAAAAUUUUACAUCUCUGCCUGCUUACUAGCAAACUAUCCGUUGGGGGCAAAACUCUCAACCUUGAACAUUAGCAUAGAUCAUCUGUUCUGUUUUGUUGGUUCACCACAACCUAUGAUUUUACACAAAUGUCACCUAUGCACCAAUCUGGGUGUUGAUCAAUGAUGCUUCAUAACAAUGUUGACUGGUGCAUGUCGUGAAUGAUGCUCCAGCUUUUCCCUAGACAAUGAGCUAUUGCAACUGACUGGAUCAGAAACAGUAGCAAUUCCACAAUAGCCUCCGGACAAGAAUUACGGAACAAUCCGAAACCACUUUGACGUACAAGUAGAAUGUGUUUCACCACCUAAAGAAUGGUCAUACUCAAUAUACGGAUCUGAGACUUAGCAAUAUCACUUGAGCAAUUUUAUCUCCCAGAAUAGCAAAGACAGCAGAUACAAAUCUCUAAAUGAUCAUAUUAUUCCUCAAAUAAUAACAAUGUACUGAUGUUGGAUCUUCCAAAACAUUUUACAAGUCAAAAGAUACACUGAAGUCCAUGUAUCAUAUCUGCUGGUCCAUGUUUGGCACCGAGCUGUUUUUGUUUCCAGACAUGGUAAUGACUAACGAACACAAGCGAAUUACAAGAAGAUCAUAGAGUUGUUCAAUCUUCCCAUAAUAACAAUGUCCCCUAGCUGGAUCUUCCAGGAGCAUUUUAGAAUUCAGAAAAUUCCCUAGACUGAAGGUUCAGAAUAAUCAAGAGAUUGCUUUCCAUGAAAUUCAAAUGUACUGUGUCAUGGCAAAGAAUGAUUUUACUUGGUUACAUAACCCACUAGUUCCUUUUCUGACAGUAUCAACUAUUGACUAAAACUGAUUGAUUAUCCACCCUCAACUUUCUUCAAAAAAUCCCCUCUUGUAUAGAAUGCAACGUGACUUCUGAAGAAAAUGAAUCACCAUGCCAACAUAUAUAACAGCAAACACUUUGUACCUCAUUGCUGUUACUUUUCAAGUUCCAUCUUCUAAGUUAUGUAUAAAGAAGUCCAAAUCAGGAAUAUAUCGUGUGUCUCUCAUAUGUUCGACCAGGAUUUUUACAACUUCAUCAACACAAUCCAUAUGUGAACCCAUUUUAUCUCCAGCAACAAAACUAUAGUUCUGAUUCUUUAUCUCUACUGAACUUCUCCCUGCCUCUUUCUUGGUAGCCAUCCUUCUCAUCAACUUCCUCAUUUUUGCAGAGUCACCCCAUUUACCGUCAGCUGCAUAGAUAUUUGACAGAAUUACAUAAGUUGCUGCAAUUUUCGGCUUCAAUGCCAACACCUUUCUUAUGGCCAGCGUGCCCAAAUCUGGAUGAUUGUGUGUUUUACAUGCUCCUAUGAGUGUUCCCCAAACAGAUUCAUCGGGAUCAAAUGGCAUACUCUCUAUCAACUUAAAAGCCUCCUCAACUCUUCCAGCGCGUCCUAGCAAAUCUACUAAACACCCAAAAAUCUCCGGAUCUGGAGCUAUGUUGUAAUCACCAACCAUUGACAUAAAAUACCUUACACCUUUAUCUACAAGCCCAGCAUGACUACAUGCAUUUAAAACUGCCACAAAUGCUAUCCUAUCUGGCCUGACUCUAAAUUUAACCAUCUCUUCAAAAAAGUUGACAGCUUCAUUUCCAUAUCCAUGGCUUCCAUAACCAAUCAUCAUUGAGGUCCACGAAACCAGAUUUUUCGUGGGCAUUUUAUCAAAAAUUCUACGUGCACUUCCAAUAUUUCCAGACUUUGCGUACAUGUCUAUUAAGGCAUUGUCCAACUCCAAGUUCCCUCCGAGGCCUCUCUUUAUGAUUCUUCCAUGAAUCUGCUCUCCACAACUCAAAAUUGCCAAAUUGGCCACAGCUGCUAUAAUGCUGGAAAAUGUGAAGCAAUUGGGGCUGAGACCUUCAAGCUCCAUAUGCGAGUAUGUGCUGAUAGAUUCAUAUGGAUCAGACUUCUCAUAUCCAGCAAUCAAAGUGUUCCAGGUGAUUGAAUCCCUUUGAGUCAUUUCAUGGAAGCAUUGCUUUGCAUCAUUUAAGCUGUUACACCUACAAUACAUAUCUAAAAUAGAAUUCAUUACAGGUAGAUUAAAGUCCAAUCCAUGCUUGGUGAUUGCAGCAUGAAGUUGCUUCCCAUAUGUACAUGAGUGGACCGAGGCACAAGCUCUGACUGCUAUUGAAAAGCUAAAUGGGUUUGAUUCACCCUCUUCCUGUCCAUCCAAAAACACACCAAAAAAGCAUGAAAAGUUAGAAUACAAUUUUUUCUAAAACAGGUGAUUUCAAGAAGAUUAAAGUGGCACUAUUUUCUAUAUACAUUAACUGGCCUAUUGCCAGAAAAUAUCUAAAUACAUACCGAUAACAUUCUUCUAAAAACAUUAAGCCCCAUAUAGCCAUCACCACGAUGAGUAUAUCCCGCGAUUAAUGUAGUCCAAGACACAUCAUUUUUCUCUCUAAUCUCCUGAAAAACCGCAGAUGCUUCUUCCAUAUCAACACAACACGUAGCAUAGACAUCCAAGAGUGCAUUCGAAACAUAAAUACUUCCACUCAUGCCUUGCUUCAGAACCAAACCGUGAACCAAAGCUCCAUGAGAGUACGAAUUGAUCCCUUUACAAGCCUUCAACGUACUAGAUAACGUGAACUCAUUGUAGCGCACAUCCGUAUACCUCAUCAUUUCACAGAAAACCAUCCAAGCACGUCCAUGGAGAUUACAUGAAGUGUACCCAGAAAUCAUGGUCGUCCAAGCAACAACAUCUCUUUCAGGCAUUUCAUCGAACAGUGUACGUGCUUCUCUAAUCAGACCCCUUUCAAAAUACGACUUGAGAAGACCAGUUGCUAAUAUAGAAGGAGGCUUGGGUACAAAUGGUGGGUUUGAAUGGGGUGGGUCGAUUGCAGCACAAAGAAGAGAGUUCUUGAUAGUUUGAGGAAUUUGAGUUUGGGAAACUAGCUUUCUUGCAUUCAUUGCUUAAACAUACAUUUAAGAUUAACACAAAUCCAUUUACAGAAAGUAGAAGUCUUCGAUUCAUAAUGUAUAACAGUAUAAAUGUAUAAAAAUGUCCUUCAUUUGUACAAGUCGCAACUGGUAUUCUCUGUGUUCGAAGCUAAAAAAGUGUUCUCCAGUACUUAAUACUUCAAUUAUUCUAAUUAUAAAGGUUAACAAUCAAAAUGAAUAAAAUAAAGAGAAGUUUGCUCAAGUAAUAAGCCUUCUCCAUCUCAAUCUUAAAAUUGUGACUUCAGUGAUCAAAAAAAUAAAAAUGAAUUAGUGGAUGUUUGAGUAAACUAGGAGAAAUUAACAAAUGAAUAUAUUUUAGAGGGCUAGUUAACUUUAGCCCCGCAUUUUAAAACUCUUUCAUGUUUAGUUGUUUUUUAAUAAAAAAAAUACCCCCUAGUUAAAACACGGACUCCAAGAAAUUUUUAUUGGAGUUUUAACUUCAUAAAAAUUUGAACUGAUAAAGGUUUGAAGUCCAUGAAUCAUUCAUGAAGUUUCUCCAUGAACUGCAACAGAUUUUCCCACUUAAAUUGUUAAAGUUUGAACUCAUAAAAGUUUCCAAUAUGUAUUAAAGGUUCCAGCAUAUAAAGAGCUUAAGGAAAAAUGGCAAAAUAUCAAUCAUAAAGAAACAUAAAAACUCACUCCAAUGCAUCUUACACAAAGUAUAAGAAACAAAUACAACAUGCCAAUCAUCGUAGUAUAAUUUAUAUACAGACUAAUUCCUGCCUUAAAUGAACUUGGCUUCAUUUCCUAAGUUGAUGUACUAUUACAAUUGAUUGGCGUAUAAAAACAAUGGUAAUUCCAUAAUGCUGUGUGAAAAACUACGUCUUCUUUUCUUUAUGUCUUGAGGUUGAAAAAACCCUCCAGACAAAAACACUUAUCCUACCUAUUUCCUGUACAUGUAAAAUGAGUUAAAACUCCGAAAGAAUGAUGGUUAUAACUCAUACAAGGAUUUGAGACUUGGCCGCGCCACGUGAGCACUUUUUCCUUCCAGAUUUCUUAAGAGCACAGACACAAAUCUCAAGAAGAUCAUAGUCUUCUUCCCAGAAUAGCAAGGAAGCCGUCUCUGGAUUUUCCAACAGCAUUUUGGAUGUCAGAAAACCAGCUAUUGUCCAUGUUUGGUACAGCCGGGCUUGCUUUCCUGUAAAUUUACCAUACCUGGUAUCAUAAUAUUCAGGCCACUGAUCCACUCGUAGCCUUUUCUCAGCUGAAUCGACUGCUUUUUUAGCCAGGUCAAGCCUAUUCAUCUUGAUGCAUGCCAGCGUGAACUGAACGGAUAGAAAGGGCAACAUCAAAAAAUAGCAAAGGUAGGAGCAAGCUAGCGAUGUUUGUUACAGUAGCUUUAGCUAACAUUACUUUAUCAUCAUAAACAAUAAUUCAGAAACCAACUAACUGAAGAAAACUACGAAACAGACAGUAAUAGGAGAAAGUCAAUGUGUACGGCCUUGUGGCACAUUUCCAAAUCCAUUUAUAAAUAUUCAUUAUAGAUUUCAGUCAUCCUUUAAAAUUCAGCAGCUAUAUCAUCUUAAAUAAAUCAAGAGCAAAAGAGAACGUCUAAUCUGGUUCUUUUUUUUCAUUCAAUAAGUUUAAGUUGCUUCUUCAGUCUGCCGAAUGGGUACAGGUUAUGGAGAAUUUAGUUUUCCAUAAAUUUCUGUGGUUGAAAUUUACUAGGACAAAACUACGAUCACUUUUCAAUUACCUAUUUAUCCAGGACAAUUGCAAUUGUCAUAAAAAGAUAAAACAUUUAUAAGCUUAUCAGGUAACUACUCAGCCUCCUAGCACUCCAAAGACAAUAAAAAUACAGGCAGAGAGAUGAAAUUAUUGCAUUGUAGUUACGGUAUGUAAGGGACAUCAAUCAAAUGAAUUCAGUGGAAUGAACAUAAAAUCAUUACAUGAGUUAGGAAAAUAAAAUCAUUUCAAAUUCUGAUUGAGGGAAGAAAGAGAUAUCAUUAAGAGAAAAUCAUCAAUCAACACGAGAAGAGAAUGCAACCUUACCUGCCAGAGAAGAGUUGGCCAAGAACCCCCAUUAUGAUAUGACCAAGGUCUGCAACAUUCAAUUUGGAAAGAUUAGUAACUUUGACUCCUUAAAUGCCCAAAGAUAACACAUUAUGUAAAUGGGUUUCGCAAUCAUGUAGUAGGAUAGCAUUGUACCCACUUCUAAUAUACCAAAACUAACCCUGCCAAUCCUUAUUACCCUAUUAAAAAGCUGGGACUUUAUUUUGUCUUUUCACUUAAAGUCACAAUUACCCAUCUCCCGCCUUCUGCAGACCCCUUCCUCAAUUAAGGUUUGCGUACAUCCUAACUUCUCCAAACUCCACUUGUGGGAUUACGUUGAGUAUAUUGUUGUAUUUCUCAAGGUCUGAUCUCUCAAAUACCAUGAAUAAAGAGAAAUAUUCAAGAUUAGAAGUUGAUUAGGGAAGAGAAAGGAUACCCAUUUAUAAUACACAAAAAGUUCAUUGUGAAGAAUAAAUUGGAGAAACUGAAGAGGAUGGGCGUAUUUAUGAAUCAUAUGUUCUGUGAUGUUUAAGACUCAAGAAUGUAGUCAGCCACUUAACCAGUCUUGAUCACUUUCAGAAUCUUCAAAUCAAGUUGGAGAAACAGGAAAAAAAAGGGCUUAACCAUAAAUGUACAAUUAACAAGAACAUUUUACUACUCACAAAAAUAUGCUAAGAACACAUCUUCUCACAAAAAAUUUCUUUAGCUUCACUUUAUCCUUUCUUUAAAAAGAAAAUCAUUUCUCAUAUUCUCUUUUCAGGAAGUUACCCAAAUAGAGAGAUUACUCACAAGUUCAGUAUGAAAGAAAAAGGAGUUCCUCUGUUGUCUUGAAGUUGCAUUGCUAUCUUGUAAAAUUUGGAAGACUCAUGGAUGAGAGAGAGAAGAUUAACACAGAAGGAGACGGUAGAUGGAUGGGGAAGAAUAAGCACGUUUAGUUUUUUUAUCGAAAGACCAAAAGGCCCUGAUAAUUGUUGUGUUCUUAAAUGACUAUUGAGGGUAGUUGAAUUAAAAGGGGGUACAAUGCUAAUCUGCUACCCUCAGUAGGUUAGCAAGACCCUACACACACAUUUAUAUAAAUAUAUGUAUGUAUAGAGAGAGAGAGCUCACGUGUUCUUGGGGUCGCUACCAGUGAUUAUACGCCAAUCUUCAGACUCCAGAGCUGGGUAACAUAUCUUAAGGGGCAUAAGACCCACAAGAUCGUACCACUUUGCUUCAAUCAGAUUCAGGAUAGCCUCAUUCUGUUUUGGGGUACUCAAAGAUGACACAAUGGACCACAGAUUUCCAAGUGUGAAGAAUCUAAAGUCCAUGUGGGCAGGUUGUAAAUUGCCAAUAAGAUAACCACCUUCCUCAGGAAUCCAGUCCAUCAACCAAUGAGGGAUUUGUUCAGGGUAGAUGUUGAAUUUGUUAGUGGCUUCAGUGGAAUACUCCUCUGUCUUAUAUCGAUAUAUUUCAUUGAUCUUUUUCAUAUCGACCCAAUAAUAUUCUCUAAUGUGAAAUGACAAUGCACUAAGUCUGUUGUUUAUGGCAUUCACCAAAUUCUUGGAUCCUUCAUCCAAAGAAAGCAGCUCACGGGAGCACCUAAGUGCUGAGUAAAAUAAUGCCUGCAACAUCAAACAAUCUCAGAAAAGAUCAAAGGGAGAAUCAUAGAAGGAAAACAAUGAUAGCACUUCAGAUCACUCCCUGAAUAUGUGCAACACAGAAAUAUUGAAUAAAUUAUUAACACUAUUGCUUUUUAUUUGGUAAGCCACUCCUCUAAACACCUAACCUCAGUACUGGAGGUGGAAGGAUCCUUCCGACUAGCUAUCCAACAUUUGUCAACAUAGAAUAAAAAUAUUAAGCUUAUGCCACCCUCUCCUACAGUGUGAAGUUAAGGAAAGAUCAAGUUCCAAAGUUCAUACAGUUCAGCUAUUGCCAAAUUCUGGUUCACUGUAAUAUCCUAGCAAAAGGGGCUUCUAUCAAAUAAGUAUACACCAAUGUCAGCAUACCAGGUCAAGGAAAGACUCACAAGAUGAACUUGAAAAAUAUAUUAAACUCAAAAAGAGGAACCGGUUACGCCACUUGAACAUUCAAAGGAUAAUUGGCAGUAUCAACUUACUUGAAUCUCAAGUGGAUGUCCAUGAAUACCCAUCCGCCUAUCUAUCAUGCAGGAACCAUCAGUGACUAGCAAAGAAGGAAACAUAUCAAACCCAUCAGAUAAACACAGGUUUAUUAUCAGCUUUAUGCCAGUCUGUACAUCCACUCUUUCUUGUAAUCCAUAGUCACCGGUGAUCUUCCCAUAAGCUCUCAACAAGAUAAUCCACCACAAACCUGAAAAAGUCACAAUUUCAGAUCUUUCAAUAUUUAUUUAACGGGUGGAGCUAAAGUAACAAACUUUUGUGAUGAUUCUUUUCUUGACCAAUUUUCUUUCCUUACCUUCUUCUGAUAUUAUUGAGUUAUUUAUUUUUCUAGAGGACAUCCUAAAAAGAAAUAAAUAAUAAACUAUAACUGCGAACUACCUCUUCACUAGUGAUAAACACUUAUGGAGACUAGAAUCAAUUAACCUAGAUACUCGCUUCUUACAUUUUUUUAAAAAGGUAAGUAUUAAUACUCUCUUCUUACAUUCAACAACCAAUUUUCUAGUUUGGUCCAGUCCACAUUGGCAUCCACUUACCAUUUUUAUAAAGGUGUACAAAUGUAACAGUAUAUUGCUCUCAAGGAAAAGUUCUAAUGUAAUUUAUACAAUAAGUGAUAACCUGAGAAAAGUUCUCCUCUUUCUAAGACAACUUUUUCUUAACUGAUCAAGUAACUAAUAGUUCCCAAAUGUUCAAUCAUUAGUUAAUAAACAAUAAGUUUGGAUUCUCCUGUGAAUGACCAGACAUUAUGGGACUUAAUAUAAAAUGAAGGGAAUGAAAAGUAAACACACACCUGAGUCAACAGGUGCUACACGGCCAAUAGCUGACUCCCCAAAAUCUGGGUCUAGAACUUCUUCGUAUUUGUUAUCAUCGAGAGGCACUGUUCUGACUUUAAAACUUGCAGGCAUCAAUCCUUGCCCUGGACUGUAACAGUCCACAGUUUUCUCCCAACUCUAAAUUACAGAAACCAACAGUAGUCAAUUCAUUUACCGUAAAUCAAUAACCCAAACCAAUAUCUACUCAAACACAGAAAAAAUGAGAAGGAAAAACAUGUGUCCAACCAACAACAAAAAAAGUUUUUAUCCCAAUCAUUGGUUUUUGACUAAAUCUGAAGAUGCAUCAAUGGAAGAUCUAAACAAUGAAAUAUAUGUAGCUAAUUAUGCGAUCACAUAACAACAAUACUAUAAUAGCUGAUGCUAUUAGUGCUACCAGAUGAAGGAUAUAUGGUUGAAUUUACAAGAUAAUCAUGAAACUCCUUUUUAAAAGAUCGAUUCUCCAGUCUCCACCAAAUAAGGAUUCAAAGAAGAAUCUCAGAGAAGCAAAUCAUAUACAGUCCUGAUCUCACACUUACCUCGAGUAUUUAGGAAAAACCAAAAAUUUCAGCCAGGUCCCCGACCCCUCUCUCCAAAAAACAGAAAGCAUUAUCAAUUCUAAGUCCUACUGGUACAUGUGAGACCUUUUCUGUGUUUUACUGUCGAAAGUGGGCAAAGGCGAGAUAAACAAUACUAAUAAUUAUGUGAAUCUAAAGCUACCACAACAGCAUAUCCAAUUGGUAGAAGCAGAACAUUUAAUACCACAAGCAAGUAAUUUUUCAAAGCAAAAGACUACCUGCAAUUGGAGAGUGUGAAGUAGGAAGUUUCUAACAAUCUCUUUCUCCCCCUUGAGUAAAAAAGCGAGGGCGGAUGGAAUAAAAUCCCUAAUAAAUACUUGAUCAUAAUUCAAUGGCAAUUUAUCAUUAGGAUCAUUAGCAGCAAGAGUCCCUAUAGGGCUCCCACAAUAUGUAACAACAGCAUUCUCCAACAACCUCCAUGCUUCCUUCACCGUCUGUGACUCCUCACCCUCUUUCACGCUCUCAACUUUCUCAUGUUGACCAGUUGCAGCAUGUUCAUCUAAAUCAGCAUUUUCCAACCCCAAUGGCUUCUUCGCAUUCAAACCUCCUUGAACAUAAAUCCUUUCAAAAUUCUUGUCAUUAUUAACACGGGUUUUCUCAACCGAAGUUGAAUGAUUCCUAAAGUCAGAUGCAACACUAGCAAUAACAUGGAAACCUCUCUUUGAGGCCCCAAUCGGGUUAAUACCAUUACAAUUUCUUGAAAAAACCCUAGAUUGACCACAAGAUGAAUUUCGCACAACACAAAACAGCUUCUGGGUCCGAUUGAUAAUCCUUCCAUUGCCCAAAAUACGAGAUGGGUAGCUAUGAAAAUCACAUUUUUGCCUGAAAUUCGACAUAUUAUGGGUCUUCUUGAAUGGAAGACCCAGAAAAGAAUUGCUCCUACAUGGGAUUAAAAUUCGACAACAAGGCGUCAUAGUUAUCAAAUUGAUUGAUUUCAUACUGAAAAUUAUCUAAAAUUUGGCAAAUAAAAGGUUUGCAAGAACGUAGUUAAAAAGUUUGUUGAUGAUGUAAUAAUGGAUUGUUUGUGAUGAACAAUAUUUGAAUCAGCAAACAUAUAGAGGGAAAGAGAAAAUCUUGGGAUAAGAUUCAAUUUUGGGGAAGAAAAAAAAUAUGAUUCGUGGAAAGUUUGAAGAUCUUUGGAAAGUGGGAAUGGCUAUUUCAGAUGUACAAGGUUAUUUAUAGCCGCCAGCCUUGUGAUGGAAGAAAUUCAUUUUUCUUUUUUUCUAUUUCGACCACUAGAAAUACGAUUUUAGAAAAAGGAAACAAAUAAAACCAAAAAAAAGGAUGAAAAAGUUUCUUGUCACUAUUGCUAGUUUUGGAAAAGAAAGGCAGUAGGACAAUUUUCAAUUUUUUUUUAGAAAUGUCAAACUAGGAAUGAAGAUACUUGGGAUAAAGUGGAGUGAUCUGACAAGAUGAGGAUAGUGAAGUUGAGAUAUUUUGGGGCAUAUAAAGAUGGGAAGCAUAGAUGUCUCAGUGAAAAGGUGUGAGAAGUUGGCAAUGAUGGGUGUUCAUAGAAGUAGGCUGAAAAAGUGUCGGGGGAGAUGAAUAGAGAGGACGAGGUGCAUCUUGAGUUGGAUAUAACCUUAAAUAAAAAGAUUUAGAGAUCGUGAAUUGGAGUAGAAAUUGAUAAUUAUAUGUUCUCUCAUUUUCCUGCGGGAUAUGAUAGGGGUGAUCAUAUUGGUAACUACUCUCUUACAAAUAGUAUUUAUAGGUACUAUUCUCGUAGUUUCUUUUUCGUUGAUUGUUGUUAACAUCUAUUUAUGUUUUAUUUAUCACACUAGUUGGUUGUUGUUAUUGUUCUUUUUAUGUAUGUUAUGUAUGCUUUAAAUAGCCUUACAUUUCAUUAUUAAUUGUUACCGCUUUCAUUUUGAUUUUUUUUCAAACUUUGAGAUACUUCACUAAAGCUAAAAGUCUGUCGCAAAUAAUCUUUUCGUCUUUACAAUUUACAAGGUAGAAAUAAAAUCUAUGCACAUUAUAAUCCUUAUAAAAUUAUAUUGCAUAUGUUCAAUUUUUGAAAUUCAAAAUACUUCAAAGUAGUUGAUUACUCUAAAUCACUCACAAAUUUAAAAUCAAUUCCAUUUUGUAUUCAUAUACAAGCACAAAUUCAAUUUUCAAAUAUCAUUUUUAAUUUAAAAAUAAAUAUAUUUUUUUCCAAAUUUCAUUUCUUUCUUUUUUUUUUCUUCACUUAAUUAAUAAAGAUACAUGACGGACUACUUAAUUAGCAGGGAGCGUUCCCUUUAAUAAGUCUUGCAUGAUUGAAUUUGGAUUAGUUAAUCCGUUAGUAAAGACACAUGCUUCUACAAUUAAUUGCUCAUAAUUUGUUAAUACAUUUGGAAAUUUUAUACCUUACAAUUUACAGUUAACAAAUUAACCAACUCGACAUUUAAAAAAAAACCCGUUAUUUCAUCUUCGAAAAGUAAAGUAAAAGUGCUCAAUUUAAAGAAGAAAUACUAUAAAAGAAAAUGUUCACGACACGACACGAAACCAAACCAAAUAAUAAAGUUUAUUUUCUUGUUUUAUACUUGUAUAGUUAUAUGCAUUUGUCAGCUCCGAAAAGAAAAGCAAAGAUAAAACGUAAUGACCUGCCCAUGGAAUUUUCCACUUUGCACAAACUGUCAAUUUUAGAAGCCAAAUUGCAAAAUUGUAUAACUUGUCACAAUUUGUACCAGUAUAUUUGGAGAUUCGUCAUUUGAGAUAAGAAUAGGUGGUGACGUGUAAAUAAGUAAUUUUCGAUCCAUUUUUUUUUCAUUUCAUAGAGAAAUACAGUCAAACGUGUGGGAAAUAUGGUCCCUUCCUAGAAAUGACUUGUAGAACAAAAGCAACGUACGUAGGGAAUAAACAAAUUCAAGAAAAAUAGACAAGUGCUGACCCACUAAUUUAAUUAUAGAGUUGUUAUCCACAAAGGAUAUGGUAUGGCCCUUACAGCAAUUCAAUUCAUGUCCACUCAUAAUUUGCAACAAUGACAAAAAUGUGUAAAAGAUGGAUGAGUUUUUGUAUGAUGAUAAUUAGUACUUAAAUCCAUUUAUAAUCAUAGCUAAAAAGUUCAAUUUCCAAAAACUGAAUUAUGACCUGACUUCAUAUUGCCCAGACCUGGUUAGAGCUCGAAAUCCUUUAUAAGGUCGUGUAGGUAGAUUCUUGAAAUCAAGUUUUUCUAUCUUCAAACCUGAGAGUGCAACACCCAUAAUUUUGAAUCCCACAAGAAAUGUAGGGAAUACAUGAAGCCGCUCAACUCCUGUUUCCAACACUAAUGUUCCAGUCAUUGAAGGAGUUUUGUCUUUCGGCAUCCGACCAAUGGACCAACUGCAUGUCUGCACUAAUAAAUCAACAUGUCAAGAAAAGUUUGCAGAUUAAAGCCUCCUCUAUCACAUAAUUCCAAAUUGGAACCACACUGAAAAAGAUUUUACUUAAAAAAUAGUUUGACAUCCAUUUAGAAGUUUCUGUCAUUUUACGGUAGGGAUAGAACUGACUAGAGUAGAAAGUAUCUUCAUUCAUUGACUUCUGAUUCACUGCCAGACACGCAUUAAGAGAAGGCACAAAGGAAGCAACUCUGUAGAUAAGAGGAAGUACUACGUACCUUGUUGGAAAGGAUGUUUACUGUUCCAUAAUUUGAUGUAAGAUCUGCAGAUAAAACACGAGGGGGUAGUUGAAAUUGAACAUUUAUAUCAUCAAUUGUCUUCCCAGGAUCAUUGCGUAUCCCAACUAACAAGCUAAUACGACAUGUCCCUGAGUCUGAAGUAAUUUGUGGCUUUACAUAUAUAGGGGUGCUCUUCAACUUCUUUAUUCUGCAUGGCAUAGUUUAGACUUUAGAGAGGGAGAAAAAAAGUUUAGACAAGAUGAACGCAGCAAAGAAGCGAAUUCUCUAAUGCACUCCUACAGUGAACGCACGUGCUUGGUUUACAAUUUGCCAUUUCCUGUUUUUCAUGUUUGGUGGAUGCACAUUGUAGUUUCAAAAUCCGUACAUAACCCCAUCAACAAUGGACCAACUGCCACUACUUGUGAAUAUAUCUCAUUAAAUAGUGGUUAUCGGAAAAAGACAUGCCUUUCCUUCUGAAAAUACAGUGCAUUUAUAAAUAGUUCAGGUUUCGUUAUGCAUUUAUUGACAGUUCAACUUUUGUUAUUGGAAGGAGCAAGUUAGCAGCAUGAAAUUUAGUCGGAGUUUCAAUAUUGAUAAAUAUUUUCAUUUCCUCAAAAAGGUAACUUUUUGCUGGGUUUCACCCUCCUUACCAAGCAAGGAAGGGGUUAAUUUUAUGGGUUCCAGUAUCAGAGGGAAUAAAGAGAAGAUAACGCUAUGAUGUAAUGUAAACAAAAGACUAGAGUACUUUUUACAUAAAGUCAAAACCAUCAAAUUUUGAUCAUGAGUAAAGGCAACUGCAAUAGUUAACACCACAAACCUGUAGCUCAUGAGCUUGAAUUGUCCAUCAGGAGGAACAAAAGACAGAAUUUGGUUUGAUUCCCAUGGUCGUAGCCGAACACAAGGAUGGAAUCUCACAUCAUUCAAGAUGGAAGUAUUUGCAAAUGAAAGGGUAAGAUCAGGAAGUCCGGAAAGAUGAGAAUUCACUUGAACUUCACCACAGAUCUCACAUUUCACCAGAACCCCAUCUCUGAAAAGCAUAAAACAAUUAGAAUGAGAAGCCUUUAGGUAAUUGGCUAUUCCUGUAAACCCUAGUUCAAGCAUAUAACAAUUAAGAAAAAGAUGCUCCAAUGGUCAAGUGUAUUCAAACUUAGAACCCCCAAUGUAGAAAAGCAAUCCAUUAUUCGGCAAUAUCGUAAUCAUCAGUGAAGAAGAAAAUAAAAUCAAUUUGGUCACAGCAAAGAGAAGAAUGUGGCAUGGAAAAAGUCAGGACUUCUGGGCAGAUUCCAGUAUCCGCCUUAGGUGCAGUUUCAUUGCCCAUAAAAGAGAAAAGAAUGUGCCGCAUGUUAAAUUUGUUUGCAAUAUUUGUGUGUUUCAUAUGAAGAGAAGUUUGUUCAGAAAAGCAAUUAAGAAACUCUUAUUUGUCCUGCAAAUAUCACAGAACAUACAAGAAAUGGAUUUCCUUUUCCUUCAUUUUACUUCACGGCAGUCUUCAAGAAGUUCAGUUUCUAGCAACUUUCUUGAAAAUUCAGAGGAAGUCUUGGAAUUCUUUUAUAUAUAUAUAUAUAAUGGUCUAGGGGCUCACUUUUAUAAUCUAACAGAUUGAUAGAAAGGAAAUGCUCAUCGAAACAGUAUAAGAAAUGUCACUUAUAUACAUUAACAAGCACACAUAUACACGUGUAUGCAUACUAUAAUACACUUCAAUUCUCAAGGAUGCUGCCAAAUUCCCCUGAAGAAACCAUUUGCAGUAGUGCACAAAAGCAUGCCUUGUAUGUGCCAUGAAGCAGAUCAUAACUCUAUGGCUCCCGCUGACUCCAUAUCGAAAUAGUUUUAACUCUACGCAUAAUGGAGAAUAGAAUACUAAACUAGUUAAACAUUUACUUUGAUAGAACAAACAUGACAUUAAAGUUAAUUUGAUAGGUUAGAUGAAUUUGAACCCUCAAAAAUGGUAUAAUAUAAUAAUAGAAGAGUGUGGAACAUUUUGAGAUAUUCCCCAGUAGAAAAAUGUCAUAUAAGUUGAAAUAGUGGAAAGAGUUCAUAGGUAACAUAGAAAGAAAAAAGUGUACCUUCAAAAUUAAUGUGCCAGCUUUCACACUAUCCUUUUAAGAUCACACUUUGGUUCUUGAAAUCUUAACCUCUAGAUGUUUUUAUGUGAGAUUUUAACCUCUAGGGUAUACCCGAUAUUGCUUCAAAGUAGCAUAUCAUUAUGUUUACCCUUCACCUUUUGUGAUACAAUGGGUUACAUCAUGUCAAACUAAAAAGUUUGAUGAUAAAUAUAAGAUUUUAAAGAUAUUAAUAGAGAGAUUCUCACAUACUGAGAAAUAAGGAGCUGUAAUGGAGGUUAAGUGAUAGUAAGAUAUAAACCUAUUUAUAGUUGCAUCCAUUUCUUCAACUAAAUCAACAUAAACUUCAUUGCUUGAAUGCUUCAGGUCUGUUUUUCUCCAAGGAACACAAGAUCCUGUUGCACCUGGAAGUGUGUUGCUCAUGUUGGAAGUGUUACCAGUGACAACACUCAAUACUUUGCUUAUGAUAUUUGGAGGAGCUAUCAUUUCCCUUAGUAUAUUAGGUUCUGUAGUAAGAGGGAAACCAUUGUCUAUCAUCUCAUCCAAAAGCUGCACAUCAAACAAAUGUUAAGGCCAUAGUCAAUUUGAAGUCCACCAGAAUCUAAUUAGUGUGUCGAAGGAAAUUUAACAAGACAGUUUGGGAGGAAAAUCUUCCUCAUUCUGUGUCCACAGAAGUUUUAGUUCUCUCUACUUUGGCUGAAGUUCUUAGAAGAAACCUAAACCGGACAGCUGUUUAGAGUUCCGUUCCAUGGCAACUUUUUAUUAAGCUAUUCUUUGAAGUCUUAAGGAACUAGCAGAUAUUUCAAGCUUCAGUAAAUGGAACAUCUCACCGCAGGUAGGGCCAUCAUAGCUCAUAGGGGGAUUUGGAAGGAAAGAAAAGCCAACUUUUUGCAGUGUUCAGCAUGUUAGUGACCUAGUGUAUUUAGCCUAAAGAGAUGAGCGAGCAUUUUAGGAUCUUUACAAGCCAGAAUUUGGCGGGGGGUUUCUAGAGUCACAAGAGUAGAACUACCUCUUUUGUGCAUCAAUAAAUAUCAUGGUAACAGGCUCUACAGUUGCACUGAUAGUUGGUCAACUGGUGAUUUCGGCCAAAAGCAACAAGUUUUGGGGUGGUUAAAACUAAAAAUUAAUACAGAAACGUGUAGUAUAGGUUAACAGACAACAUUUGUGAUUGCACUAUAGCAUGUGAAUAAAAGGGAGUUGAGAAAUUCAACCAAAUCACUCUAUAUAAUCUGACCGUACAUUGUGAUGGAACUGAAAGUACAGCUUGUUUAACAACUCCUUAGUUUGAUGGUUUUUAAAAGCUUCAACUUAGCCUGGUUAGCAUCAUUCCAAACUUCCUAACAAAAUUCCUUUUUUUCUUUUGGGUAAGAAAAGUAUCCCAAGUCCUAACAAAAUAUAUUUUGCACAAACAAUUCCAAAAAAAGAGCUUGAAGAUGUCAAAUACCUCAUAUACAAUCACAAAAUUAUCCUUUAUCAAAUCUUCAUUCAACCCUCCAAGAUAUUCUGACAGGACAUCAGCUACUCUGCACAAGAACUAGAAAUUAAAUGGUCAAAUUAUCAAUAAAGCCCUUAUUUGCAGAGAUGAUACAGAGUUUCAAAGUUAUAAGCAAAGUGCAGUAGCCUCCCUAUGUUCACCUAGCAGCAAAUGACUACAAUAGCUAGAACUAGAACUUUGACAUAUCAAUUCAAUGAAUCAGUUAGCAGUAAAAUCAUAACUGCCAACCCUUCGGGGUGGCCCAGUGGUUUGGGCUUGGGACUUCCAUGUUGGAGGUCUCCCCUUGCCAGCGAAAGCAAGGGGUUUGCCUUCUGGGUCGAGCUCGUCGCAUCGGGCUUGUCUAGUGCGGGUUACCUCUCCUAUGUGGUUUGUGAGCUAUUGCAUAGAAGCGGGGGUUUUACCCUGUGCGCACCCAAAGGGUAGCGGCUGCGGGUUUCCCUUGCCAUAAAAAAAAUAAAAAAAAAUCAUAACUGCCAGGUGCAAGGACUUCCAAUAGUAUGACUGGACUCGUACAGAUCUAAUCCAUUUAACCAAGAAGAAAAGCCCACAAAGCCGACAAAACAUGGCAGAGGAAUGGACGAAAUAACUUAUCAAAAGAAAAACUUAGAAAACGAGAAUCUCUAUGAUGCCAGAUUUUAUCAAAUACAAUGGGCAUACCUACUAUGGCGACAGCAAAUAAACGGUUGUAUUGAACUCUACUACGACAAACACGUCUAACAUACAUUUAUUAAUUGUGGAUGAAGGGGCUCUACCAUAAUUUGUUUGCCUUUCGAUAACCAAUUACUAUAAUAUACUAGUGUAAAUUAGCUUGAGAGUCGCACACUAAAGGGUCCUUCUCUUCUGAUAACCCAAAAAUCCCCUGUGAGUUAGCUGGUCCAAUUCCGGUUAGCUCACAGGUCAAAACUGGGGGAGUAUCUGCCAUACUAUUCUACUUCCACUUACAUACCAUGCUCCUAUUUUUUUGAUGACCGACAUACCGUGCUCAUAUUCAGUGGCUCGGUUCAAACUCACAUCCAAGUUGCAUCCUUCUAACUGAACCAAAGCCCUAGGGCAAAAAAUGCCAUGUUUUUGUCUCAAAUCCUUCAAUAUCCUCUGGACAUACUAAUCAAAUAGAAAACUUUCAGUUCAGAUUGAAAGCAAUUUAACUGUCGCGGUAUGCUAGCAUGUUCAAAUUUUAAACUGAUAAGAAUUACAAGAGGCAUCACCAUUUAGCCAUCCAACCACCAUGCUACUAACCUCUCUUAACAUAUUCUGGUCAGGUGUUUAAUAGUUCCAAGGCAAUUCCAUUAAACCCAUCCUGUGUCAUAAUCUUAUUUAAGAAGAAAUCAAUCCAGCAGCAACAACAUAAAAUAACCAAGUGUAUUACCUCAAUUGCCAUUAAAGGUGGCAUUUCUACUUGGGUGCAAGCCAAGAAGGUAACUCCUUCACGAUUAACUUGGAAAAGGUAAUGCGUUGGUGAAGCAAUCACCGGUAAAUGCUGCAACAAGCCAAAACUUUUUUCAAGAUAAACAGAACAAAAGUUUCAAACUUGGUCAAGCCAAAAAACAAUUAUAUGUAAAUUCAAGAUCAAGGAUCUUGAUUUCUCUAUACAGUGAGUUUUUAGCAACUUUAACUAUAACAUUGGAACAAAUUACUCUUAUGCCCCUACCUUGAAGGAAUCACCUUGAGCAAUUGACUGAUCCCAAAACCAGGAACAUAUUGCCCUAUCAACCCAGUGUCCAGUAAGCUGUUUUUCCAGCAUUACCUCCCUACAGAGACAUUGAAUUACACAGAUCUUUAGUAACAAACUUCAAAUCAAAUACUAAGUCAUUCAAUAUCCCAAUAAAUACAAAUUAAAAGGCAAAGAACCCCUUUUUCGAGUACGAUGAAUAUGAAUUUGACGGAAAUUAAGAAGAAGAAGAAGAAGAAGGAUACCCAGAAUCGGAGAGAAGAAAAAUGCAUUGCAACAUAACGUUGCUUUCUUUACUCUGAAAUGGAGUUGGAACCAAUUCACCCCUCUUCUCUCUCUCUCUCUUCCUGUAUCUAUCAAUUAAAUAAAAAAACUAAAAGGUUUAAUAUGGAAAAAGAAAAAUUACGAAAAUGACAAAAAAGGUCCUUUAUUGUUUGUUAAUAUAUCAAAAUAAUCCCUUAUGUAUCAAUACAAACAGUUUUGAUCCUGUAAGUUUAUCAAAAGUUUGCACUUUAGGGGUCCGAUAUUGGGUGAGAUAAAUCUCGUUCUAAUAUCAUGUUAAAUUAGGUUUAAAAGUUAAUUCAUUCAAAAGUUAGCUCAAAGGGGAGGGUUGCUCAAAUCUUAUUAGGAGUCGAUUCCAUCUCAUUAAGCAUCACAUCAGUGUGAUGUUUUUGACAUUUCUUUAACAAAUCAUAAUUGUAUUUAUAAAACUAUCUAUAUUUUGUCUUAAUUUAAUAGUUAACAUUGUGUGUAUGUUCUACGUAUUAUUUGAUGAAAAUUUUAAAAAUUGUAGAUCCUUCACAAUAUUACGGUAAGCGUUGAGCUAUUAUUGUUAUUGAAUUUUAAAUUCAAAAUGAUGUUAUGCUUGUCAAGGCUUUUUCGCAAUUUAAUUUAUUUUAUCAAAGGUUGAUAUAGAUUAUGAACAUCUAAUCAACGAGUUAUUUACUACUUUUACAUUAUGAUUCUAAAAACGAAGCAAUAGAAAAAGAUGAUGAUAAAAUAUUUUAUUUUUUUAUCAUGAUUAAAACCUUAUUUUAAUUUAUUAAAUUUGAAUUAUCAGUAUUAAAAAAAAAUAUAAUGCAUGAUCACCCGAUCGAAGGAAAAAUGAGAAGAAGCCGAAUUCCUAGCCGAUUAUCAAUAUAUACGCUACUUUUAUGAGUUAUAUCCUUUCAAAAAGAAUAUCAAUUCCAAACGUGUUAUUUCUUUCGACAUGCAGCUGAUCAAUACUAUAUAGGUUGGACACAACUUAUUUGUAUCAUGAGCUCUUUCUCUUUUUCUCAUCGUAAAAAAAAACACUUGUUUUUUCAGUAUAUAAUAUAAAAUAAUUAUUAUUUCUAAUUAUAAUGAGUUUACUAUCAGCUACAUUGUAUAGACUGUUUUCUCUAUAUAUCUUCAACGAACUCGAUAUCGGCUGCGUGCACCGUCUAAUCUAAAUCAACCACUCACGACAAAUUAAAGGAUACAUACAUGGGAUCGGAACUAAGUAGAACAACACAUAACUACAAAACCUUAAUAUAGUUAUUAGUUAAAAAACAAAUUGUAGUAAUACCAUUUAUAUAUAUAUAUUAAUAACAUGUGUCAACGCACAAAGAAAUACACGUAGCGUAGCAUGUGGCACCGCUCUCCGACACGUGUCUGUCUACCAUCACAAUAUUACUAUUUUUUGUUACUCUCUCAACGCUAUCCGUUACAAGUUUAUUGGUCGGUGAAACAUUUCCUUAUGACAGUAUCCCACUGUCCAUGCAACCGCGUUCCAUGCAUGUACUACUACUAUAUAUGUUAGACAAAUUAACAUUCUCAUAGAUAUCAUAAAAAAAUUGUCACAAAAAGAUAUAUAAAAUGGCUCCAGAACUUGAAAGUGGAACAAAAAAGGCAAGUACUACUCAAAAGGAUAUAGAAUUAGGGAGGGCUUAUGUGACUUUCUUAGCAGGUAAUGGUGAUUAUGUGAAAGGUGUGGUUGGUUUAGCAAAGGGAUUGAUAAAAGCUAAAUCUAUGUAUCCUUUGGUUGUGGCAAUUUUGCCUGAUGUGCCUGAGGAACACAGGAUGAUAUUGACGAGGCACGGUUGCAUAGUGAAGGAGAUAGAGCCACUAGCUCCUUCAUUGCAAUCGUCCGAUAAGUAUGCACGAUCUUAUUACGUGCUCAACUACUCCAAACUUCGGAUUUGGCAGGUAAAGUAAAUUAUUAUAAUUGCAAUGAUUGUGGUUUUUUUUUUUAUCAUCGAUGAUUGAUCGUUUUUUGGUAUUAAAUUGCAGUUUGUGGAGUACAGUAAGAUGGUGUACUUGGAUGGUGACAUGCAAGUUUUCGAGAACAUAGACCAUCUUUUCGAGCUGCCUGAUAAGUAUUUAUAUGCGGUGGCGGACUGCAUAUGCGAUAUGUAUGGGGAGCCAUGUGCUGAGGUUCUGCCGUGGCCCAAAGAGAUGGGGCCAAGGCCGUCUGUUUACUUCAACGCAGGCAUGUUUGUCUUUCAGCCAAAUCUCUCCAUCUAUGUUCGUCUCUUGAACACACUCAAAGUUACCCCACCCACCCAAUUUGCUGAGCAGGUAUAUAUAAAUUUGUGUGUAUAUGAAGUUAUGUUUCUAUACGGAUUAAAUCUGGUUAACAAACAAGAUCGGGUAACUUGAAGAACAGAGUAACCAACCUGUUAUAUCUGGUUAUAGUAAACUUAAUACAUCGAAAACAUGAUAGAGUUCAACUUCUAUAAAUUGAUGGUUCAAGAUAUGUUUUUUUUUUUUCAUCACUCUCUCAUGUGCAUCUACUAAUUCAACAGCUAUACAUAGUCCCAACCGUUUCCUUUUUGUAGGACUUUCUGAACAUGUACUUUAAAGACGAGUACAAACCAAUUCCUUACACAUACAAUCUGUUGCUGGCCAUGCUAUGGCGCCACCCAGAGAAAAUUGAGGUGAACAAGGCGAAAGCGGUUCACUACUGUUCUCCAGGGGCUAAGCCGUGGAAAUACACUGGGAAGGAAGAACACAUGGAUCGAGAGGAUAUCAAAAUGCUAGUGACGAAAUGGUGGGACAUUUAUAAUGACACCACACUGGAUCACAAGGCGCAGGGUUCUACAGUUGAAGCAAACAGAUUAAAGGAAGCAGCCUUUUCGGAUUCGAAUAUAAGUGCUCUAUAUAUUACUAGCCCAUCAGCUGCUUAGCUAUAUAUAUGACUGGCAAUGAUCAACUCUUGAUGUUAUUAGUUGUGGAGGGAUACUGCCACUUGUUUAUUUUUUUUGGCAGGUUUAGUUUGGUGGUCCAAUAAGUGAAAGUUUCUGUAUUAUUUGCAACCUAUAUAGUGUGUUUGAAUCUUAGUGAUAAUUAUGUAGUCUGUGAACAGAUGUUGGAACAGCACAAAAUGGAAAUUAUACAUACUCAUGGUGUCUUUCAAUCUUCUUUCCUUGUUGAGUUUAAACUACUGUACCACAGCAGCAGCCAGCUAAUGAGCUUCAACAGUAGAACCAACUAUAGAGAUAAUAGGAUAUUCAGGUAAGAUGAAAUUCACCUCUAGGCCUACCAUAGAAAUAUGGAGCCAUGACAAGUUGGUGAUUGUGCACAAAAAAUGUUAUUUGGGGUGGUUCUCAAAAUUUAUCUUACAAGCCAUUAUCUCGAAACAACAAAGAAAAAUCACAUUCCAGAUGCAUAACCGAACCUGUCAACGAAACUUGCCAAAUUAUAGAUCAGUCAACAACUUAUGGCAUAUGAACUUGAGAAGCUCAUCUCCCUAACAAAGCAACACGAUCUUUCUGAACUGCCUGUGAUAAAUUUAUGUCAAAGAGCUCACACCGAAUUGGCAUUUCCAUUUCAUAGAAAGGGUUCUUCAAGACGUAAUCAGUGUAUAAUUCAUAGAUAUACUUCAAGAGGGACUCCAUAUGCAGAGCUCCAGGCUCACAGACCACAAAGAAUUUUGUUCCUGUUAAGUAAAUCAAUCAAAUCUUUUAGCUGGUUGGAGUGUAACCUGAAUUGACAGCAGUGACUGAGGGAAAAAGAUUAAGAAAUAAGAUGUAAGAUUGAAUAUCAAGUUAAAUGUUCCAUGGCACUCUCAACUCAGAGGCACUAAAACAUUCGACUAGUCUGUCAAAUAUUUACCAAGUGGCUUCCCAUGCAUUAUUGAUUAGUCUUCCAUCAUUUCCGUUGACUUAUUACACAAGUGAACAGCUUCCAUUGUUUCUUAAAAAAUGAGCAAACAGCUGCCAUCUUUACCAAAUAUGUUUUCCUGUUUGCAAAUAUUUCACUUCAUUUCAACUUAGUAUUAUCCAAGGGAAAAACUUAUUUCUCUGAGGUAUGGUUUCAACACAAAAAUACAAGGAGAAUAUCAUCUAUACAAGUUAAGAUAUUAGCUAUGUUGUCUUCUUUGGAUAUUUGUUGUGGACUUGUGGUCUAUCUAGGAAACAUGGAAAGAAUGAGUUCAUGAAGAUGUAGUCUCAUUCUUUUUCUUGAUCUGUCCAACUUCAACAGAUCAUUCUUUGGCCUAUUAGCCUUGAAGCAAACAACUUCAACAAGGCUAUGAAAAUUGAAUCGGCAUCAUGUGCAAGCCACAACUCAUUAUAAAACAGAUCAAGCAGCUUCUUUGAGCCUAAUUAGUCAACACUAUUUUUCAUUAUAGAACGAAUAUUAUUAGCCUAUAACUUAUGGGCUAUCCAAUCAAAAAAGAAGAAUACUAUUAGCCUAUAUUUUUUUCAUCGUUACUAUUAGCCUGUAUUUUGUCUGCCCUUUCACUUGUGAUGCCCAUUGGUCUUGUGUAUGUAGAAAGAACUUUAACAGAUUCAGCAAAUCUCUUAACCAGUAGUAUCAAGAUAGAAACUAGGAGUCAGCAUCCUUUAACAAAGCUCCAGAGGAAAUACAAAUAAUUACCCAAGUUAGAUUCUUAAAUAUCCAUGAGUGUACUUAGAUUUGAAGAACAAUUCAGUAUAAACACUGAUAUACAUAGGAAUAGGCAAUCAUAUAGGGCCACCAUUCAAAUGCACACUGGAACAAAUAAAAGAACACAAAUUCUUUCUGACUAAGUUAUGCCAAAUAUUUGGGGAUCACCACAUGCCUUUAGAAGUUUCUUUUGUACAUGAUGUUUCCUGUAUAUUCAUGGGAGCUGUUUUGUGCAACAAGAGACUGUGUAGAUUCUCUUUAACAAGUCCUUUUAAUGUUUUUGCCAAGUUUAGUUUCAUCUAUCAUUUAAUCUCAAAUGUCUUGAAGUUGCCACACUGGUGCAUAAAAUCUCAAGAAGCUGUUAUGAGAUCCUGAUCGAUUACACUACGAUUGUUAGUGCACAUCACAUCAGUGCCGAGAUGAUCUAACCCUCCAUACCCAGUCUGACAGAAAGGUUUAGAUUCUAAUUAAUUUUCAUCCCCUAGUCUCUUAAACCAUAUUUCUAGCUUUUCUGAAUAGAGAACUGGAAAUUUCUUUGUUGCACGAUUUAAAUUGGAGGGUAAUUAAAAAUAAAAAUAACUGAAAUGGAGAAAAGAUGCAUGAGCCACUUAAAGAUACUGCACCAUAUUUCCUGAGAUCGAAGUCGCAUACAGAACAACUUCAGCAGGAAAUCAUUAUUCAUAUUGAGCUACUUGAUUGAGCCUAAAGUACCAUUUAGGUUACAUUUUCCCCCUUUCCAGCAUAUGGACUAAAUUCUUAUAACUUUUGGGCCAAAGAUUUAAGAUUUAAGUUUGUAACCUUGUUGCUACUGAGUAAGCUUUAGUUCCAUUCAAGCUUAUAGGUAUAAAACAUUUAUAACUACAAUUUACAACAGAACAUACAUGAUAAAAGAUGUCAAAAACUAAAGCUGAUAAAAAUCAUUAAAAAGAAAAAGAUGCUUCUCAAAAAUAAUCAGAUAAAGACAAAAUGGUGGAGAUGUAAGAAUUACCAGUAAGAGAUUGGAAGCAAUGGAGAUCAAAUGUAUCAGCUUGAAGGAGUUCGAUACCAGCACAGCCAUUAACUGGGGACAACUGCUGAGAGAUAGCGUGCAUAGAAUGCCACAGACUAGCCAAUCUCAAACUAUCAUUUGUGUCCAUUUUUCCAGCAGAACCAUAAUCCUAAGGAAUCUUACACACCCAUUAAAACCACAAAUAAGAACAAAAUAAAACGGCCUAAGCUGAAAAGUGUUGGAAUUUGAAUUCACCUUGCAGAAGAUAAGCCCUCCUGAUUUAUUGAUGAUGUAAAGGCUGUAAAUAGCUGCCAUUUAUAUUGAAUCCUUCUCUUUCUUGAUCUGAAUGAAUUCAAUUUACAAUUUUAGUUAUUUUUUGGGAUGUUUGACCAACAUGAAGAAGAAUUGCUUAAAACGCUACCCUCCCUUGAAGAAAUUACGAUAGAUGUAGUCAGGGACUUAUCAGCUUCUCAGCAUCGGUAUCUAGAUAUUCGAUCAGGCGAUCUUUAUAAUACAAGCAGAGUAAUUGAAGGAAAGUAUCUUGAUUUGCUGGCACAAGCAGAACUUGAUCUGAACAAGAAACAAUGGGCAGUUGGAUCUAUUCUGCCUACUAAAUUCGAUCAUAUCUCAACUAGGAACGAUAUAUGUUUGGAGUGGCUUAACAAACAACCUCCAAGCUCAGUUCUUUAUAUAUCUUUUGGAACAACAACAUCAUUUUCCGAUAGAGAAAUCAAGGAGCUCGCAAUGGGAUUAGAAUUAAGCAAACAGAAGUUCAUAUGGGUGUUGAGAGAUGUCAAUAGAGGAGAUAACUUUACUGGGGAAGAUAGAAGAGUAGAGCUGCCAGAAGGGUUUGAGGAGAGAUUAAAAGAUGUAGGCUUAGUGGUAAGAGAAUGGGCACCACAACCAGGAAUCUUGGCUCGUACGUCCACAGGCGGUUCAUGAGUCAUUGUGGAUGGAAUUCUUGUAUAGAGAGUAUUACUAUGGGAGUGCCUAUAGCUGCUUGGCCUAUGCACUCUGACCAACUGAGAAAUGGUUUCUGACGGAAAUGUUGAAAAUAGGCCUGAUUGUGAGGGAGUCAGAGAAAUGCGAGGAGCUAGUAAGUGCAUCCACUAUUGAGAACGUUGUGAGGAAAUUGAUGGCAUCAGAAGAAGGUGAUGUAAUUAGGAGAAGAGCAGAAGAAAUGGGAGAAGCCUUAAGGCGCUCCACAGAGAAAGGGGGUGCUUCUCGAAUAGAGUUGGAAUCUUUCAUCACGUAUAUCACAAGAUAGACUUGUUUUCACCAGAAUUUUCAAGGAUUUUGGCUACUUUUCAUAUUCAUGUAAGUUAACCUGUCACUUAUCUGGAACUUUUAAAUGAGAUGAUUGCUUUGUAUCCCUCUCUUGACAUAUAACUAUCCAGAAUACAGGGUUUUAUCCAUAUGUGCUUUAUUAGACUGUUUUAUCACAAAAGACUUUGUUCAUAGAUUUCUAUGUCCUUCGAAAGGGUUUUUACGAAACAGUUUUGAUACUUGUCCUCUACAACUUCUUAGGAACGCACAUGGUCAAAUUUUUAACCUAUAUGCUUUGAACUUGUGAUAUUACUAGAAUCCUUUUACAUACAUGUUGCAGAAUUGCACCAUUUCUUUGAGGUAGUAUAAUUUCUUAGACAUAUGAAGCAGAGUGUGUUACAAAAUGUCAAAAUCAUAUUGAGGAACCACACUUGAUAAAAUAAGGUACACCAUGCAACAAAAAAAUGUAUGUUUUCUGCUAUUCUGUAAUAAUGGAGCAUUACAAGAUCAUUUAAGAAAGUUUUGGCAUGAACUUGAAUGAACUGAAAACAGAAAUUGCGAACAAGUAUUCAAAGAACUUGAACUAGUCUUGGAGGUGUUAUGUACUUCUUUCUGCACAGUUAACUUAUGAGACUUAUGUUAUGAUUACCAAAUGGUUUCAAAUGCUUAAAUUUCUUGUCUUUCAAUAUAUGAAUUGGUUCGCCUACUGGAUUAGGGUAUAGAUGUCCUCACGACUUAGAUAAAAUGGGUUGUGAUAAAGGUACAUAACCAAAAUUCAAUAAUUAAAAAAUAAUAGUACUAUUAGGGGUCGUUUGGUUGGGAACAAGUUAUCCAGGAUUAUCACUAUGGUAUAAAUGGCAGGAUAAGUUAUCCCACACUUGGCCACCAAACAAAACACCAAAAUUUUCUUGAUCUGAAUGAAUUCAAUUUUCUGAAAAACAUACAAAGUAUUGCACUGUAUACCAAUUUCCCAAAAGAACUACAACAAACCCAGUGAAAACCCAUAAGUGGGGCAUUUCCCAAAAGAAGAAAAAAAAACCUCUCUAGCAAGAGAAGAUUACACUCAUUUUUUCCUGGAUACAAAUAACACAAAAGAAAAAAAACCCAACAAUGACAACAACUACCUACUAUGCCUCUAACCCAAGUUAGUUGGUUUGUUACAAGACUCCUUAAAAGGCAAGAAAGAACAUAUACACAUAAAAAAAAAGAAAAAAAAAAAGGAAAGAAUUGUUACUGAUCUCUGAUUUUAGAGAGUUGAUCUAAGUUAGAUUAAGUACACAAGAUGGGGUGAAAAGAUUUAAACCCUAGUUAGACUGGGAGAGAUGAGACGAGUAAAAAUAAGGGAGAGUAUACCUGAAUUCAGAUGCAAAAUCGGGUAGUCUGUAGGGAAGAAGAAGGGGAAAAAACGAAGAGAGCAAAACAAUUUUGUAGAAAAGAGUUUGGGAAAAGGAUAUUAAUAAAAAUAAAUAAGAAAAAGUUAUUUAUUAAUGUAUAAAAAGUAAUGCGGUGAACGUGGAUCGAACACGUGACCUUCAGAUCUUCAGUCUGACGCUCUCCCAACUGAGCUAUCCCCGCUUUAUGAUAUUUUUAAGGCAACAAAUUAAUUAAAUCAAAACGAGAAUUCUUAGAAAUCGAAUGUUUCUCUUAUUUUAUUUUAUUUUUACUGGACAAUGUUUCUCUUAUUUGGUUAGUAAUUGGGAUGAGUUAUUGGUCAAAAUCAUCCUUAAACUAUAUCCCAGACUUAAAUUAUAUUCUUAAAGUAUCAUUUUUAGCAGAAAAUAUUCUUCAAAUAUUUAAAAAUGAACAAUUUUCAUCCUUCUAUUAGAUAUAUUCAAAAAACUAAGAAAUAAGAGUUGAUAAAAGGUUUGGUUUUGUCAUUUUUUAUAAUUUGCUUUUAAUCAUAAGAGAUUUAAUUUUUAUACCUAAGAAAUUUGAAAUAAAUAUUAAACUUUUUCAAUUUGUAAGCGAUUAUAAGAGAUCAUUUUCACCUUUAGAAGAAGAAAAUUAGAUUUAUUCGAUUACAUUGUUAUUUUCUCACGUAUAUUAUUUUGGUAUAACUUCAAAGAGCAAUGCAAAAAUAAGAAUAAAGGAAGCAAUCCUGAUUUUAUGGAGCUUGUGGGAAGUCAGAAAUAAUUUAUGUUGGAAUAAUAAAUAAAAUGUGUCUGCUAUCACUUUGUACUGUGCGAAGAAAGAACUGGAGGAAUGGAGAAGUGUCAAUUCAGGAACCGAGAUGAUUGUUGCUGCUGCAAAAAAGAUUACUAAAUGGGAGUGACCUCUGCUUGAUACAAUUAAGUGUAACAUUGAUGUCCUCUUACGAUAUCAAUAUCGGUUUAGCGGGGAUAGAUUUGAUGCUACGUGAUCACUUGGUCAAUUUAUUACUAGGAGAGCUUUAUUUCUUGGUCGUGUGGCUAGCCCGUUGUCGGGCGAAAUCAUAGGGUGUGUGAAACUCUUAAUUGGCUAAAGAAACGGUUCAGUAGAAUAAGAUUGGUAGUGGAAAGUGAUAAGCUACUUGUGAAGCAAGCGCUGGAAGAAAAUUUGAUGAAUUACUCUUAUUUUGAUUCUUCAGUUUUUCGUAAAACUCUUAUCAAAGAGUUACCUUUUCUUUCUUUGUCCGGCUGUUAAGAAAUCAGCAAAUCAGAUUGCCCAUUGUCUUGCUAAAACAUUUGUUUGUAUGUCUGGUUGAAUGGAGUGGGAUACUAACCCUCCAUCUCUCAUUAUAUUCAUUUCGAUAUGAAUUAUACACGAUGAAAGAACAAUUUCAAAAAAAAGAGUGAAUUUAUAAUUUAAAAGUUAUGAAUUUCUAUAAUUAUUUCAAAUCAAAUGACUAAAUUUUAUCAUCAAUUUUUUUAUAAAUAUGUGAUGAAUUUCGUAAUGUAUAUAUAUUAUAAAUUUUGAAUCAACAUUAAAAAAUUGAACCCAUAGUCUGACACUAUAAGGAGGAUCAAUCUGUUCCUUUUUAGAUGAAAAUUUUCAAAAUAAAAAUUUAUAUACCUAAAAAUUAGAUAAAAUAGUAUAAAUCUAUAAUCAACAUUAAAAUAAAAAAAAAGUUUCCAACGGUGCAAUUAAAUGAAGACCAUUGAAUUUGUGUCGCCCGUCGGCGAGUUGCGAGUAUGGUAGUUGGAAGGGAAAGUACAUAUACGUGGGAAAUAAGCAAAGAACGUGGCCAUGGCUGAAUCCUUGCAUAAUUAAUUACUACUAUAUUAACCUGUUCUCACAAGCUGAAUUUGUACACUACUUCUCUACCGCAUUUCAUCGAACACUUGAAAGGUUAUGGCCGUAAAGGAAGACAAAAAGCCAUCAGUAGAGAUCAACAAUCUCAAAUUCACCUACCCUGGUAUCGAUGGACAUCCGCCUCCCGGAUCUACCCCUUUGAUAGAUGAUUUCAACCUUACCCUUUAUCCCGGUGAUCGAUGCCUUCUUGUCGGAUCUAAUGGCGCAGGUUCUAAUUCUAUUUCUAUUCCGCACAUUGAAAUUUUGAAUUACUCUCUUUAGUAUAAUCAAGAAUUCUAAAGGGGUUGCUUUAAACUUGUUUCUCGUUGCUGCUAUCUCCAAUUCCGAAUUUUUAGGGUGCCUUUUGGCUUUGGUGUUGAUGAAAUUUUGUCUUUUCUAUUCUCUUGUGGAAAAAAGUUAUUUUUUUAAUGAUGUUUCCACCAUUAAAAAGGUAUAACCGUAUAAGGAUAGUGUUUUGACAUAUUCUUUUCUAGUAUUAAAGGUUGACAACAAUGUUUAGAUGUCUAUUGUAGUGAGCAAAUGGAGUAAGAAUUGUCAUAUUUGUACAGAAAAAUGACUUGCCUUCAUAAGGGAGAGGAUGUCAUCUUGCUUAUUUUGCUAGAAAUUGUAGAAAACAUAGCUAACCAAACACUGUAUAAACAUUUUUUGCCCUACCAAAGGCACCCCCUUAAUAGGAGGUUUGAUUGAGAUCUGAGAGACAUGUUCUUUUGAUAGGGAAGACUACAAUUCUGAAGAUAUUGGGAGGAAAGCAUAUGGUAGAACCAGACAUGGUCAGAGUGCUUGGAAGAUCUGCAUUUCAUGACACUGCUUUAACGGCUUCUGGAGACCUCAGUUAUCUUGGUGGAGAGGUAUCUCUUCUCUUGCUUUGCUCCUUCACUAUCUUUUCAUGGUUUAUUAUAUUUUGAGGACUGUUCGCUUCUUUAGUUUGUUAAUUGCAUGUAUUGGAACUUGGCAAUGUCGUCUUAUGUAACAAUUGAAUAAAUUCCAGCAGAACUAAGUGCUCUUCUGUUAUGUUUAACUAAGGUUACGUUCUUGCCUAGUUGGAGUUCUAUUUGGAAUCAGCUUUAAAAUUCAAUCUCUCUAACAUGGUUUCUCUCAUUUAUUCGUUGCUAGUUUCUACAUGUAAUAUGGUACUUUUCAAGAAGAUUUUAGUUAUAGAAGUAAUAUGCUAUAACAGUGCUAACAUCUUGUUUACGCUUGAUUAAACCUGUUUCCUGAAAUGACAAACAUGCCACAUCUUUUAAAUGAACUUGUGAAUUCGGAAAUUGAUUAUCAAAGUAGAAAACUAAGUUCUGUUGUGCUUUCUGUUUUGCAGUGGAGGAGAGAAGUUGCAUUUGCUGGAUUUGAGGUGCCUAUCCAAAUGGAUGUUUCUGCUGAGAAAAUGAUUUUUGGGGUUCCAGGAACUGAUCCACAAAGACGAGAUGAACUAAUUAAGGUACAGAUAAAAAUUAGCAAUUGUUAUCUGCGUGAAAUUCAACAAAGUCCCAUGGGCAACUCAAAAAGAUUGUAUCGUAUAUUCUGCUAGUGUUUUAAGGUAAACUGAAAGGUAUAGACCAUAUGCUAAAGCCUGGAAAAACUAUCUCUCUUUCUCUUCUUACUAAUUUUCCAGGCUUAAUCAGAAUUCUGUCUCUCAUGACAAGUAGGAGUGCUCUAACUUUGUACCAUGAUAAAAAUUGCUAAUGGGAACAAAUAAAUACACACAAACAUGCACGACAAACAACUAAAUCAGCAUAUGUUAAUAUUCUUAAUCUUAUGUUCAUGAAGGUUCUUGGUAUCGAUCUGUCCUGGAGAAUGCACAGAUCAUCUGAUGGGCAAAGAAGAAGAGUGCAGAUAUGUAUGGGUCUUCUGAAACCAUUCAAGGUAUAUCUGUAAAUACUUUCACCAAGUGAAAAGCAUUACCUUUUAACUGUUACAAGUUACUUGAAGACAAUGUUGACACAAGAUAGAACCCUGCUUGUCUAGGUACUACUUCUCGAUGAGAUAACAGUUGAUCUGGAUGUUCUUGCAAGGUCUGAUCUUUUGAAAUUUCUGAUCAAAGAAUGUGAAGAGCGAGGCGCUACAAUAAUUUAUGCAACACACAUUUUUGAUGGUCUUGAGAACUGGCCUUCUCAUUUAGUAAGAGCUGAUUCUUACUUACCUCUUGCUUUAUCUUUGGAUCUUGAGAUAAAUACCUAUUAGAAGGUCUGAGACAACCCAAUUGAAGUAUUUUGAGAAAUUGAAAAUCAGAACGUGCAUAACCCAAUAUCAUCAUACUUACAUUCCUUUUCAAGUUUGCAUUUGUUCCUUUGAAGGAUUCCUUGAAAAGUUAAGCGUUAGCUUCUUAAAAAUUAACAAAGUGAUGGUUAGAAUAAUUGUUUUAUUUGCAGAUAUAUGUGGCUCAUGGGAAGCUGCAAUUAGCAAUGCCAAUGGACAAGGUGAAGCAGAUCAGCAAUUUAUCACUAAUGGUAAGUUUCUGGAGUAUUUAGAAAAUGUAAAAUCCAAAAUAGAACCUCAUUCAGGUUUUCUUUGAAAUUCAAACAUGUUUCCUCUCAUACUCUUAGCUAGAGGUCCACAUCGAUAGAUGAUCUGAUUUCAUCUAAUACCUGGACAUUAUGACUGAAUCAUAUGAUAUAUACUGUGGCAAUUUUUCUCAUUUCGACUUUGCAUGGUCGUUCUACCUGGAUAUACAGAGGACAGUAGAGAGAUGGCUGAGGAAAGAAAGAGACGAGGAGAGGAAACGAAGGAAAGAGAGGAAGGCAAAGGGCCUUCCGGAAUAUGAAAAACAAGUUGAAGGCACUCGAGUGGUAGGGGGAGAUCCAGGUCGUGCUGCUGGUCGUCCAUUAAACAAUGGUUGGGCUGGUGGAACACUACAUUCUACUAUUGCUGGCGAAGAAAAUUUUUUCUUAAGCUCAAACCGUGUUCUAAGAUAAAGAGAACUGAUGCACACUUCUUUGGAACUGGUGUCAACGUACUUUACCAUUUCAUUCUUUCUGGUCAGAUGACCAUGAAACUAGGACUAAUAAAAUUUUAAAUUUGUAGAAUAGAAUUAUCUCUGUUCAUUUGGUUUGUAUACGUAUCUCCUAUUCUCUAUAUGUUCUUGUUGGUGUAAUCUUACAAAUUGAAUAGGUUAAAUUGUUGUAAACACAUUGCGAGCCCAAAUGUUUUUCCAAGUUGUGAUUGAAGUUUCAUGCUUUUAUAGAACACCUGUUGUUAAUUACGAAAUUCCUGAGCAAGUCAACCAAAAGUUUGAAUUAUGGAGAAGAAUGAAGAAUGGGUAUUGAGGAUAAUAAGUAUAAUUUAAGACAGAAUAUGAAUAUAUAUAUAUAUACAUAUAUUGCAUAACUCAUGUAAAAGUAAAGAAGUAAGCGGGAGAUUAGAUUAGAUUGUAGAGUCUAAAUGCUGACAAUUGGAAGUGUUUAGGAAGGUGUUGUGCCAUUGCAAGAAUCCUACCAAAGUGGAAGACAAACUUUAUAAAUGGGUGUGAUACAAGCUAUUAUAUGAUAUAUGAGGGUAAACAUAUAUACAAGAAGAGUACAACAUCGGAUGAUUUGAUGUGUAAGUUGUAACUAGUGGUGGCAAAUGGGCGGGUUAGGUAAAAUAUGGGUUGGUUGAAAAUGGGUAAUAAUUCAACCCGCCCAUAUUUGAUAUGGGUAAAAAUGAAUUGGGUAAGAAAUGAAUUGGGUAAAAUACUAGUUUACCCAUAUUUUCAUGAGUAAAUAGUACUCUACUUAAGAAUUCAACAUAGAGAAAAUAUUUUAGUCUUUUUUUAGAUGAAAGAUGUUGAAAAUGCUUCAUUUAGUUUUAUUGUAUCAUAAAAGUAAAAGAAAAAAUCCUAUAACUUUUCAAUAUAAAAUAAAAUUAUGUAAUAACAAGGGGAAAAUGUUUUUAAUUUCAAAGUAAAUGAAUAUUUGCAUUUUAGGACUAAAAUAUGCUUAAUGCACUUUAAUCAAUGUCAAUACUAAUACAUGAUUUGCCUAUUUUACACUAUGUAUUUAUUAUCCAAUAUGAAAUUAAACAAAUAAAAAAAGUAUAAUUAUAAGUAACAAAAGAAAUGUACAUUUAAAAUAUCUAUUUUUAGAGGGCCAAAGACUUCACCUUUUCAAUUAUAGUGAAAAAUAAUUAGUUCUAUAGAAGAACAUAAAAAGCAAGAGAAAUUACAAUAUUUUUAGUGAUAUCAUGAAUUUAUAGUGAAUAAAAUUAGAAGCUUAACCCAUUUGACAAAUCCAUACUUUACCCAUAUUUUACCCAUGUAAAAAAUCACUCACCCAACCCAUUAAAAUAUGGGCUCAUUUUGCCGGCAAUAGCUGUAAUGUACACCUUCAAGUGCAUAAGUAAUGUCAUGUAUUGAAGGUUCUAAAUUGGAACAAAAUUAAGGCUAAAAUUGCGUCAAUAAUACAAGUCAUACAUUUACUCAGUAUCGAACUAGUUCAGGUUGACAAGUAGAUCAGACACUAGUAAUAACUGGCUGUCAGUUUAUGGUUUGUUUAAGUCAUAUCAGAGUAAAAUUAUCACAAGUCUGCUCUGAAAGCUAAAAAUUAUUGAACUUCAUCUGUCAUAGAGUUAGACUUUGCUUCUCAACCAAACAAAAUAGUUCCAACUGAAUUUUGUUUAGUUGAGAUAGUAAAGACCUGCUCACCAGCAGUAUAGAAAAGCAGCACUGGGAGAGAACCUCAAGUCUUAAUUUAAACAAAAUGCUGAAAGCGGAGUAAUUGAGAAUAUGUAAACCCAGAGUGUAAAAUAUUACAUGAAUUCAACUAAAGUUACUGUAAAGUAACAUUCUUUUAAAGAAAGGAAAAUGUACUGAAAAAAAUAUAGUGAUAAGUGGAUCUAUCUCGCAUAAGAAAGAUAAGCAGGUGCACAAGUGCUCUAGACAUUGUUGAAGUCUAUAUUGACAAAAAUAUAGCUGCAAAAAUCAUGGAUCUCAUGUUCAACUCUGCAAAAACAAGGUCAUUGGAAAAUUAGAGCAAAUUUAAGUGAAAUAAAAUCUAAUCUGAUAAUGCGCUCCAUACCUUGUUUGCAAUGUUGUUUGAGAGCCAGUCAAGCCCCUCAUACAACCCUUCUCCAGAGGUAGCACAUGUGCUCUGAAUGUACCUGUUAUAGAAAGUCAUAGAUUCAGCAUUUGGUAGCACAUACAAUCAAAUAUCAAUCUCCAGCACCAUGCUCAAUUAGCACAUAUACUUGAUUAUCUUACAAAUAAGGGAACACCAAAUAGUACAUACCAGUGGCGUUGACGGAGGGAGUGCAAACCAAGCUUGUCGGUAAUCUCAGCAGCAUUCAUAGCAUUUGGAAGAUCUUGCUUGUUAGCAAACACAAGCAGCACAGCAUCCCUCAGUUCAUCCUAUGCAUACAUUGCAAAAUUCAUUCAAAAUAAGGUAUGAGUGAAAGGAACCAACCCCAAGAUGCUAACUAAGAACAGAAAGUUGGUGAAUACAGAUCAUUUCAGACUUUCAAGUGCUCCACGGACCCAUUUCCGGAUGUAUCUUGUGUAUGCACCCCACCAGACAUGGGCCUCCCCAAGACACGAUAUAAUCUUAAAUGAAAGAACGAGGGUGUGUGAUGCAUACCUCAUUCAACAUACGAUGCAGCUCAUCUCUAGCCUCAACAACACGAUCACGAUCAUUACUAUCAACCACAAAGAUAAGUCCUUGUGUGUUUUGGAAGUAAUGCCUCCACAAUGGUCUGAUCUGGAAGUGCAAAAAUAUUGACAAGGAACAACAGACAACAUAAAGUAUGUCAAUAUCCGAAAGAAGUCAUGCCAUAGAAGUCAUUGCAUGUCUGCAGAUUUUAGAUAAGUAUGCACUUGAUAGCAGCAGAGCACACUAGAAUUCAAUGAUACAGAACAAAAUAUCAUAUCUUGGUUUUAUAAUUCUUCUAUUCUGGUGAGUAUGAACAUUUAGUGAAAAAUCAGAAAAAUGAGCAUGAUGAAUUUGAAAUACUAGUAAGAUAAAGAAAAUAUAAUUCCAAAACCAGAAAUGCUCUUUCUAUAACUUGCAAGUUGAAGUAAGGUCAGUGUGAAGUCAGCCAAACUCAAGGUAGAAGAACUUGCAAUCAUCUUCUAAUGUCAGAUACUGAAAAGAGCAUAGCACUUUGGUUUAAGGCACUAAGUACCUUGUCCUGACCCCCGACAUCCCAGACAGUGAAGCUUAUGUUCUUGUAUUCAACAGUCUCCACAUUGAAUCCUGAUAAAGAAAGAGUUAUUGCAGAUAACAUUAAGAGAAAUAGCUUGCAUCAGUACAAAUAAGACAAACGUGUCAGCAGAACAACCAUGCUUCUAGAAACAGAGGACAUAAUUGUGGUGUGCAUAGCUCAUAGCUGUUUGCAGCAGUAUUUGGAUCUAGACUAUUAAAUAUAUAUUGAAACAGAACAUCAGACAUCUUGAAGGGUUCCUUAUAUCUUACUACAUGCUGAAGAUGGAAGUUUGGCAUGCUCUGAAUUAUCAACAAAUAUUCGGGACGUCUCUUAAAUAUAUAGUUUGCUGAAGAAAAUGACCAAUGAAGGAAAUGGGACCCUUUAACCUUAUAACCAAGUGUUUUCUAUGUCGCUGUUUGAAGUUAAGCUCUCUUUACGGUUUUACAACUGGUAAUAGAAGGUUAGUCCCUGCAGUAAGACAGUGUGAUUUUCAUUUGCCACUAGGUUCUAGAGAGAUUAAGUCAGUCUGCAGAAAGAAGGAGCGCUCGCAAGAAUAUUGCUGAAGAUUCAGUUAGAUUUGUUUUUUUGUGGGGUCAUAGUUGAUAUCUUCUGUUUAAAGUAAUAAAUUUUGCUGACAAGAAGAUAGUUUUGAUUAUUGACUUGUCUAGUUUGGUGGUUAAACCAAUGUGUUCAACAAGCUCUACUACUAUAUAGUAUUCCAUUGGAGGUUAUUGCAAAGAAACUCUGUAAUACUAUGAUCGGGCAAUGGAUGUUUUGGGGAUGGCACAUGACUGUUCCAUUAUUCUUAUCAGAAGUGUGUAAUGGAGUGAUGAAGCCUGCUCACUUGCGAACUUCUAAGGAUGUUUUGUAUUCACAUGGAUACUUAAGGGUGUAGCUUAAAUUGUGGGUUUAAUAUAGAGAUGUUUAGGCAGAAACUCACGACAGUGUUCCGAUCAUAAUGAUAUAUUAGUUCUGCAAGCAAUAAAACAUCUAUAGUACACACAACAUAAAUUACCAAUGGUAGGAAUAGUGGUAACAAUCUCUCCCAGCUUGAGCUUGUACAAUAUGGUGGUUUUACCAGCUGCAUCAAGACCCACCAUCAGAAUACGCAUCUCCUUCUUGGCAAACAGCCGACUGAAAAGCUUCCCGAAUGAUAAACCCAUCUUUUUUCAAUGCCUGUUGGACCAAAAUUAAGAUUCAAUUACCACACACAUUCACCUAUCAAUCAAGCUUAAGACAACAUAUUUUAUUGAAUCAAGAGGUUACAUAAAUGCACAAUACAAAAUUAUGAUCUUAAGCCAACAUAAAAAUCCAAAUUAUGGCGUGGUACUCCUCUUAACAUACUGAUCUAAGCCUUCAUUUUCAAUACAUUUGAUGUAUCAAAAAAGCAACUGUUGGAUCUUUAUCAAAAGAUUUCAUCAUAAAUUUCAAUAAUCCUUUAUUCAUCGAGAGAUCUAGUAGCAACAAGUUUAACAAUUAAAAGAAUCAAGAACCCCUCUACUUAGAACGGAUCUUGGGCAAUGACAAUCCGGAUCCAUUUAUCAAAAAGAAGAAGCACCCAAAUCAAGAUCCAAAAAGAAGAAGAACCCAGAUGAAGAAAGCAAGCAUACGGAGAUCAAAUCAAUACAAUAAAAAUACAAGAAAUCAAAGAAAGAUGAAAACUUUAUCAAAUUCCCAGAUCCAAAAAGCCAAAAUCCAGAUCUCCAAUUCAACAAACUUUUCAAUCAAGAAAGAGAUACAUACAUAAACUUUGUCAAAUCAAUUGUUAUGAACCGAACGACGCGUAUGUGACAGAUAUGUAAUACAAAGGAAAUGGAGGAGAGAGAUCUUACGGUGAUGAAGAAGGAAUCACAGAGAGAGAGAUAGUGGGGGAGUUGAUCUAGAAAAGGACUGCCCUUUGUAUAAUUGACAAGAAAUGAGAACCUUUGGAUGUUCUCUUCUUGUUUUAGCAAAACCUCUAAUAUUUUAAUGUCAACCCUAUUAAAUUGUCACAAUUUUGAAUUUUCAAAUAUUAAGUUACGGAAUUGGAUUCUUUUACUAGGCACACUUCUUUGGAACUGGUGUCAGCGUAAUACUCCCUCCAUCCACAAUUAUUUGGCAAGUAUACUAAAAAUAGAUGUCCAAGAUUAAUUGUCAAUUUAAAUAAUCAAGAAACAAUUAAUCACCUUUUUUUCAAUUCUGCCCUUAAUGAUAGUGUAGUUCAAUUGAAAAGUUAUGUAGACUUUUGAUAUUCUUAGUAUAAUAGGGUUAUAUUAAGUCAAAUUACACCUUCUAUUAAAUUUUCCUUGAGGGUAUGCAUGACCUUAUCCUGACAAACAAUUGUGGACGGAGGGAGUAAUAAAAAGUUUGUGUAAUCUUAUAAAUUGAAUAGGUUAAAAUUGUUGUGAACACAUUGCGAAUCCCCAUUUGUUUUUCUAAGUUGUGAUUGAAGUUUCAUGGCUCUAUAGAAUACAUGUACGAUAUUGUGUUAACUACGAAAUUCCCAAGCAAGUCAACCAAGAGAUUGAAUUAUGGAGAAGAAUGAAGAAUGAGUUAAUAACGAUAAGCAUACGUUUAACAUAUAUAUUUUGCGCGUUAAUAUAUAUAAGGGAAAAGGGUCUGAUAUACCCCUCAACUUUGUCAUUUGGAGUUGAUAUGCCCCCGUUAUGAAAGUGACUCAUAUAUACCCUUACUGAAACAAAUGGCUCACAUAUACUCCUACCGUUACAAAAUGAGCUCACAUAUACCCUUCAUUUAACGGAAGUGAAAAAAUUAAUUUUAAAUUUAUAUUUUUGACUUUUAAUUUUUUUAAAUCAUUUAGGGGUAUAUAUGAUUCUUCUAGCAAAGUUCAAGGUAUAUUUCAAUUUUUUUCAUACAUAAAUUAUUUUUUGACUUCUUUGAUUUUCAUUAUUUGAGUUUCUUAUCCUUAUUUUAUUUUUUUCUUUCAUUCCUUAGUGUAAAGAAAAANNNNNNNNNNNNNNNNNNNNNNNNNNNNNNNNNNNNNNNNNNNNNNNNNNNNNNNNNNNNNNNNNNNNNNNNNNNNNNNNNNNNNNNNNNNNNNNNNNNNNNNNNNNNNNNNNNNCACCAUGUGAUUCCAUAUCAUGAUUUGAGAUAUUUUAAUACAAUAAUUGAUCCAUGAGUUUAUAUUUUGUUAAAACAACCCCACAUUUAUAUCUACUAACCAUUUGUUUCAUAUGUAAAUAAAAUUUAUAAUCACAUCAUUACUUUUUAAAAUUUAUUAUUCUCACCAAUAUAAAAUUUAUUAUUACUUUAAAUUUGGUGAAUAUAAAUGAUAAAGUAGAAAUUCAUUUGGUGAAUAUAAAUAAGAACGAAGGGAGUAAUACUUUUUUGAUUUUUCAUAAUAAAAAAAAACUUCUUAAUCUUAUGACUAAGCAAAUAUAAUAUUGAUAAAAGACAAUUUUCAUUGGCGGUGCCGCAUUUUCUUAAUCUUAGUAUUUGCAAAAUAUUCGUUCACAUGACUGAAGGAUAUCAAGUCCAAUUGAUUGAGGNNNNNNNNNNNNNNNNNNNNNNNNNNNNNNNNNNNNNNNNNNNNNNNNNNNNNNNNNNNNNNNNNNNNNNNNNNNNNNNNNNNNAAUUUGAUCAAUUAGUUAUUAAUAUUUAGUCAAGUGGACUAGUUAUAAUUUUUUUGAUUAAAUUUUAUUAGAAGUGUUUUUGACUCAAACUUGUGGUAACUUUUUAAAAUUUCGUUAUUCAAUAAUAUUUAACUAUUGAUUUUUCUUGUAAAUAGUUAGAAGUUAGUGAUGUUUGUUAAUUUUUAUCUUAGUGCAUUUAACUUCUAAGUUAAUAUUUACUCACUAAUGUAUGUUUUUUCCCUACUUUAUAGGUUAUUUGUAAGAGUUGUUGAGAGAUAUGAACAUAUCAAGUACAAUUUAUGUUCAAUUUUUUUUAAUUAAAUUAAAGUUAGAUGAAACAAUUAUUUAACUGAAGAACAAAUAACUUUGUAAUAAUUUAUUAUGCGAUUUUAUAAUUUUUGUUUAUUUGAUAAGAUUGAAUAAACAAUUGGGGCUAUUUUAAUAGUUUUACAUCUUAUGGGAUUUUUAUGUUUAUGAGAAAAUAUACAACACAAAAAUUUCAUAUCGCAUGUCCAAACAAACCUUCAAUUUCAUCUCAUGAUUCCAUAUCAUGAUACCAUAUCAUGAUACCAUAUCGCAUGGCCAAACGGGCCCUAAAUAUACCCAUAUGGGAUUAUAGUUUUUUUUUUAAAAAAUAAUUAAAAAAAUUAAACUAAAAUUAAUUUUUUUUCAUUUCCGUUAGAGGGAAAGGGUAUAUGUGAGUCAUUUGUAUAUAAGUAGGGGUAUAUAUGAGCCACUUUCAUAACGAGAGGUAUAUUAGCUCUAAAUGACAAAGUUGAGGGUAUAUCAAACCCUUUGAAGCUAACUUGAGAUUAGAUUAGAUUGUGGUGUCUAAAUGUUGAGUGUUAGGAAGGUGUUGUGCCAAUGGAAGAAUCCUACCGAAGUGGAAGACAAACUUUGACAAGCUUUAUAAAUGGGUGUGAAACAAGCUAUUAUGAUAUAUGAGGGUAAAUAUUAGGUCUUAGAAGUCCAACAGAUAUACAUGAAGAGUACUCCUAUCUUGGAGAUUGAAAAACUAUUUCUGACAGACCUUUGGCUCAAGAAUAUAUACAAGAAGAGUGUCAUAAGAAUAUUGACAUUAUAAAUGAUCACAUGCGUCAAUGGUCAAAGGUACAAAUUACGUUAUGCUAUUGCCACGUAUUGAAAUUUGAAGGGAACUGCUUGUUGCUGUUAACAGUAUAACUAAGUGUGCCAUGCUUAAUUGCUUAGUGAAUUUUGUUAAACUACUUGGCUCCAAAUCCUACAUUUUUUGCAGAUUGCUUAAAGAGAACAAGCCACCACACAAAGGCAACAGAGUUGUCUUGCUACUGACCGUCUGCUCUUUUCUUUUCUUGCUUUUUAAAUUUUUUUAUCAUCAAUACAUCGGGGUUAAGUUGGGGGAAAUGGGGAAGAGAACUAUAAGGUGGGAUCCAAAUUCUCACCAACAAAAUGAAAAUUCAAGUAGCCAACCAACUAAACUACUAAAAUCCCCUCUCAACAAGAUGAAGUUUACUCCUAUUAAACUUCAUCUUGUUAUAGAGUUGUCAUCGACAUUAACUUCUCAACCAAACAAAAUAGUUCAAACUGCUGCAGUAAAGAAAAGCAGCCAUAACUAAAACCAACGAACACUGGGAGAGAACCUCAAGUCAUAAUUAAAACAAAAUGUUGAAAGCAGAGUCAUUGAGAAUAUGUAAACCCAGUGUGUAAAAUAUUACAUGAAUUCAACUAAAGUUACUGUAAAGUAAACAUUCUUUUAAAGAAAGGAAGAUGUACUGAAAAAAUAAUACUGAUAAGUGGAUCCAUCUCGCAUAAGAACGAUCAGAAGGUGCACAAGUGCUCUAGACAUUGUUGAAGUCUAUAUUGACAAAAAUAUAGCUGCAAAAAUCAUGGAUCUCGUGUUCAACCCUGCAAAAACAAGGUCAUUGGAAGAUUAGAGCAAAUUAAAGUGUCAAAUAAAAUCUAAUAUGAUAAUGUGCUCGUUCCCAUACCUUGUUAGCAAUGUUGUUUGAGAGCCAGUCAAGCCCCUCAUACAACCCUUCUCCAGAGGUAGCACAUGUGCUCUGAAUGUACCUGUAAUAGAAAGUCAUAGAUUCAGCAUUAGGUAGCACAUGCAAGCCCGUAUCAAUCUCCAGCACCAUGCUCAAUAAGAACAUAUAAUUUGAUAUCUUACAAAUAAGGAAACACAAAAUAGUACAUACCAGUGACGUUGACGGAGGGAGUGCAAACCAAGCUUGUCGGUAAUCUCAGCAGCAUUCAUAGCAUUUGGAAGAUCUUGCUUGUUAGCAAACACAAGCAACACAGCAUCUCUCAGUUCAUCCUAUGCAUACAUUGCAAAAUUCAUUCAAAAUAGGGUAUGAGUGAAAAGAACCAACUACAAGUUAACUAGAACAGAAAGUUGGUAAAUACAGAUCAUUUCAGACUUUCAAGUGCUCCAUGGGACUAUUUCUGGAUGUAUCUUGUGUAUUGCACCAGACAUGGGCCACCCCAAGACACAAUAUAAUCUUAACAGAAAUAACAAGAGGUGGGUGUUGCAUACCUCAUUCAACAUCCGAUGCAGCUCGUCUCUAGCCUCAACAACACGGUCACGAUCAUUACUAUCAACCACAAAGAUAAGUCCUUGUGUGUUUUGGAAGUAAUGCCUCCACAAUGGUCUGAUCUGGAAGUGCCAAAAAAUUGACAAGGAACAACAGACAAUAUAAAGUAAGUCAAUAUCCGAAAGAAGUCAUUGCAUAACUGCAGAUUCUAAACAAGUAUGUACUUGAUAGCAGCAAAGAACGCUAGAAGUCGAUGAUACAGAACAAAAGAUCAUUUCUUGGUUUUAUAUUUCUGUUAUUCUGGUGGCUGGUGAGUACGAACAUGAAAAAAUCAGAAAAAUAAGCAUGGUGAAUUUGAAAUACUAGUAAUAGAAAGAAAAUAUAAUUCCAAAACCAGAAAUGCUCUUUCUAUAACUCGCAACAUGAAGUAAGGUCAGUAUGAAGUCAGCCAAACUCAAAGUAGAAGCACUUGCAAUCAUCUUCUAAUGUCAGAUACUGAAAAGAGCAUAGCACUUUGGUUAAGGCACUAAGUACCUUGUCCUGACCCCCAACAUCCCAGACAGUGAAGCUUAUGUUCUUGUAUUCAACAGUCUCCACGUUGAAUCCUGAUAAAGAAAGAGUUAUUGAAGAUAACAUUAAGAUCAAUAGCUUGAAUCAGCACAAAUAAGACAUAUGUGUGUCAGCAGAACAAACCGUGCUGCUAGAAACAGAGAACAUAAUUGUGGUGCAAAGCUGUUUGCAGCAGUAAUUGGAUCUAGAAUAUUAAAUAUAUAUUGAAACAGAACAUAGGACAAAUUUAUGUAACAAUUUACAAAAAACAAGCUAGUCAUUCAUGUAAAAAGUGAUGCACCCUUGCGCGGUAGCUGCGGAAUAGCUUUCUGUGCCCUGAUUUAUCAACAAACGUCUUGAAGGGUACCUUAUAUCUUACUACAUGCUGAAGAUAGAAGUUUGGCAUGUUCUGAAUUAUCAAAAAAAGUUUGGGACGUCUCUUAUAUGUAUAGUUUGCUGAAGAAAAUGACCAACGAAGGAUAUAGGACCCAUUUAACCCUAUGAACAAGUGUUUUCUAUGUCGCUGUUUGAAGCUAAGCUCUCUUUACAGUUUUACAACUGGACAUAGAAGGUUAGUCCCUGAAGUUAGAUAUUGCUGGUUUUCAUUUGCUACUAGGUUCAGUCUGCAGAAAGAAGGAGUCCUUGCAAGUAUAUUGCUGAAGAAUCAGUUAGAUUUAUUUUUUUCUGGGGGCACAGUUGAUAGCUUCUUAUUAAAAGUAAUAAAUUUUGCUGACCAGAGAAGGUAGUUUUGAUUAUUGACUUGUCUAGUUUGGAAUUUUAUUGGUGGUUAAACCAAUGUGUUCAACAAGCUCUACUACUAUAUAGUAUUCCAUUGGAGGCUAUUGCAAAGAAACUCUGCAAUACUAUGAUCGGGCAAUGGAUGUUUUGGUGAUGGCAUGUGUCUAGCACAUGUUCUAAGGAUGUUUUGUAUUCACAUGGAUACUUAAGGGUGUAGCUUAAAUUGUAGGUAUAAUAUAGAGAUGUUUUGGCAGAAACUACUAAUAACAAAAACAAAACGACAGUGUUCCGAUCAUAACGAUAUAUCAGUUCUGCAAGCAAUAAAACAUCUAUAGUACACACAACAUAAAUUACCAAUGGUAGGAAUAGUGGUAACAAUCUCUCCCAGCUUGAGCUUGUACAAUAUGGUGGUUUUACCAGCUGCAUCAAGACCCACCAUCAGAAUACGCAUCUCCUUCUUGGCAAACAGCCGACUGAAAAGCUUCCCGAAUGAUAAACCCAUCUUUUUUCAAUGCCUGUUGGACCAAAAUUAAGAUUCAAUUACCACACACAUUCACCUAUCAAUCAAGCUUAAGACAACAUAUUUUAUUGAAUCAAGAGGUUACAUAAAUGCACAAUACAAAAUUAUGAUCUUAAGCCAACAUAAAAAUCCAAAUUAUGGCGUGGUACUCCUCUUAACAUACUGAUCUAAGCCUUCAUUUUCAAUACAUUUGAUGUAUCAAAAAAGCAACUGUUGGAUCUUUAUCAAAAGAUUUCAUCAUAAAUUUCAAUAAUCCUUUAUUCAUCGAGAGAUCUAGUAGCAACAAGUUUAACAAUUAAAAGAAUCAAGAACCCCUCUACUUAGAACGGAUCUUGGGCAAUGACAAUCCGGAUCCAUUUAUCAAAAAGAAGAAGCACCCAAAUCAAGAUCCAAAAAGAAGAAGAACCCAGAUGAAUAAAGCAUACGGAGAUCAAAUCAAUACAAUAAAAAUACAAGAAAUCAAAGAAAGAUGAAAACUUUAUCAAAUUCCCAGAUCCAAAAAGCCAAAAUCCAGAUCUCCAAUUCAACAAACUUUUCAAUCAAGAAAGAGAUACAUACAUAAACUUUGUCAAAUCAAUUGUUAUGAACCGAACGACGCGUAUGUGACAGAUAUGUAAUACAAAGGAAAUGGAGGAGAGAGAUCUUACGGUGAUGAAGAAGGAAUCACAGAGAGAGAGAGAGGGGGCAGUAGAUCUAGAAAAACACUGCCCUUUGUAUAAUUGACAAGAAAUGGGCAACUUUGGAAGUUCUCUUCUUGUUUUAGCGAAAGCCUCACGUAUUUUAAUGUCACAAUUUUGAAUUUUCAAAUAUUAAGUUACAGAAUUGGAUUCUUUUAUUAGGCUUUUCACCGUAUAUUAGAGUAUUUCGGUUGAAAAUUUUCGAAUAUUGAACUGUAUUCGAUUGUAAUUUUUGUAAAUAAUAUUUAUGCAUAAAAUAUAAUUUACAUCCCUUGAUUUUAAAAAAUUAGUAACUAUUCAACUUAACUAAUUUAAUUUAAGCAAUCAACAGAAUUUGCUCUAAUAAGUAAUGUCACAUAAUGAAAUAUGAAUAGUUAAGUGAUGUUAUAAAUUAGAUCUCAUAUACAAAAUAUUAUAUGCUAUUAGCCUAUUACACUUCAUCAAUUUUUAAAUACUAUUAUAGAAAUUCAGUUUUUUGUAUUAUUAUUAUUCGAUAAAUGAGUGUUUUCAACCUUCGCUCGUAUAUAUGAGAUUUUACUUAGAAAAACAAAUCCUUGAGGAGAAAACGUGUUUGUUGAGGGAUUUUAUCAUUAAAAAGUUGGUAGCUAUUGAUUGUUGGGUAUUUAUGUUGGUUAGUGGCUGAUAUAAAUAGGGAAAAUUACACGAAAUAGCAAACAUCUAGAGUAUAUUAUGUAAUAUAACUAUAGUUUUGAUUAUUUUUAAUUUGUGGCUACAGUUUUACGAAAUGUUGUUAUUCGGUUCCUAAUUGUAUAAAUUUAGAAUUUGUAUAAUUCGGUUUCUGGUUGUAUAAAUUCAGAAUUAUUAUAUGCUUACCUUAGUUAUUUGUAUACAAUUAUUCCUUUUUUUUAAAAAAAUAAAAAUUCCUGGCUUGGUAGCUUUUUGGUGGAAAAAAAAAAUUGUGAUUUUUUUUUCUGAAAUUUCUGCCAAUUAGUCAAUAUCAAAUUGACUAAAAAAUUAUUUUUUUUUAGAAAACACUACCUUGGCAGCAAUUUUGGUGAAAAUUCUUUUCUUUUAAAAACAAAAUCGCUGCCUCGAUUUUAGUGGAAACUUUUUUAUUAAAAAAAAAAUUAAAAAAAUCUCUGCCAAUUGGUGAAAUUUUUUUUUUUUUAAAAAAAUCGUAUUAAUUUUAUUUUUUUAGUUCAGUGACAAUUAGCGAAAUUUCCUUUUAAUUUUUUUUUAAUUGUUCAACAUGUGAAUGUGUGAACAAUUAAUAAAAAAAAAAUUAAAAAAAUCUCUGCCAAUUGGUGAAAUUUUUUUUUUUAUAAAUAUAGCUGCCAAUUUUUUUUUUUUAAAAAAAUCGUAUUAAUUUUAUUUUUUUUAGUUCAGUGACAAUUAGCGAAAUUUCCUUUUAAUUUUUUUUUUAAUUGUUCAACAUGUGAAUGUGUGAACAAUUAAUAAAAAAAAAAUUAGAAGGGAAUUUAGCUAAGUGUCAGUGAACUAAAAAAAAAAGUUAAUACAAUUUUUUUUACAAACAAAUUGGCAGCGAUAUUUAUAAAAAAAAAAUUAAGAAAAGAUUUCCAUCAAUUGUCAAAGAUUUUUUUAAUUUUUGUUUUUUUUAUAAAAAAGUUUCCACCAAAAUCGCUGCCAAGGCAGUUUCUUCUAAAAUAAAAAUAAAAAUCGUCAUUUUGAUGUUGACUAGUUGGCAGAUAUUUCAGAAAAAAAAAUCAAUUUUUUUCCACCAAAAAGCUGCCUAGGCAGGAUUUUUUUUUUCAAAAAAAGGAAUAACGCUACAACAGCAGCGAUUUUGAAAAUUAAAAAAAAACGGAAAUCGCUGCCAUGGCGAUUUCUAUAAAAAAAAAAAAAAAAAAAGCAAAAACGCUACAUGGGUAGCGAUUUUCUAGAAAAAAAGAAGAAGUUAACAACGUCAAACAAAAUUGUUGCGUCAUUAGCGAUUUUGCCCUUUUGGUUAGAAAAAAAAUUGAUGUGCUCUUUUGGAAUUUUUGUCAAUUUUUUUUGCCCUUUAGGCUCCGGACGCCAUCAAAGUUAUAGUAUUAGUAUUAAUAUCGAGUGAAAAAUUAAAGGAAGGAUACAUGUUACUGGGUUAUAAAACGAUAGUUUGUGAUAUUGUAAGCUCUUCAAAGUACUUGCAAACUAUAAACAAAAAAUAGAUAAAAAGUACAUGAUAUUAUAUAAAAUUGAAAGAAAAACAUGAAGACAUAAUAACAAUAUAUAUGUGCACCUAAUAAUAUUCUAAUUUAGUAAAUAAAUUCUCAAUUCUAGUACAUGUUAUAAUUAUAAUCAAAUGAAUCGAAUUAGAAAUUAAGAAAGUGUAUUAAAGCAUAUAAGCAAUCAUUCAAGACUUAAACCACGUGGGAAAAAAACUGUUCUUGUGACAAACAAAAACGAGUCUAAGUUUUUCUUUCUCUAUCCUAAUUUAUGUGACACUUUUCAUUUUUUGAGAAUCUUCAAAAAAUUUGAAAUGAAAUUUAUAUAUUUGUAAACUACAUAAAAAGUACUAUAAGUCACAAUAAUUAAUAAUUUAAAAUGUUUAAAAGAUUUAUGAAAAACUUACGGUCAAAGAUAACCUUGCUUGAAUCUCAAAAUUCGAAAAGUACCGCGGAAACAGAAAGAGAUACCUUUUAAAUCAUUGAUUUUUAAUUUGUUCCAUUUUGUUUGAUUUUUUUUUUUUUUUUUGAAUGUAUCAAGUUAUAACAAUGAAAAGUGGUCAUUAUAUUUGUGAACCAAGAACAAUGGUAAUGAUGUAAUGAUACAACAAAGUUUUUAGGCUUGCUCAGCUAAAUAAUACUCUUCUACAACUACUUGAUAAAGUCCAUGCAUUUUUAAUGCUGCAACUGCAUUUCCAUGUCCUUUUUCUGUUUUUCUUUUUCAAUAUCACCAAUUUCUUCAUCAAAUUCUAUUGGAAGCUUCAACUCGUUAUUUUUUCCCCAAAGUACUCCAUAAAGUCCCAAUACUAUCAGAAUUGACCCUACAACCCUGAAAGUAAUUACAAAAAAUACACAUUAAUUAAUUAUUCCAAAUAAUGACGAUGAGUCGAUGAAUAUGUAUACUUUAAUUUAAUAAUUAACUUACGUUCCGAUGUAGAUUUUCUCUUGAAGCAAACCCCAGCUGAGAAUAGCUACAAUUACUAGCAAUAAUGGAUUGAAUACUGAAACAUACAAUGGACCUUUUCUUUCUAUGCACCAUGACAUUAAGCAGUAAGCUAGUGCAGUGCACACCACUCCCUGUAAUUUUAAAUUAAAGUAGCGCGUUAUUAAUUAGUCACACUUUUUUACACAAUCAAUAUAUUUUAACCUGUAUAUAAAUUAAAUACGUACCGAGUAAAUAGAAGAGACAGCUCUGAUGCUAUGGCUCAAAGACCAAUCAGAUAUAUUAUGAUCAAAGCAAAUUCCAACAAUCACACAUUGAAAACUAGCCAUUAGACACAUCAAAGCUGAGCUAGAAUAAGGAGCUGCAUACACCAUGCUUAGUUUUGCCUGACCAAAAAUAAUAAUAAUAACAUAUCAAUUGAAAAAUUAUAAGAAUUAAAAUAUAUUGAUGAAUAUAAAAUUUGUUACCUGAAGGAUGGACCAAAUUCCCCAAGAAACAGCACUAAUAAUGAGUAGAAAAGGGCCUAAUAUGAAAUUUCCAUGGCUUGUGGUGCUUUUAUUUUGUGUCAUGUCUUGUGCAUAUUUCCAAUGGAUGUUUGGUUGAUCAAUUGGAACAAUAGAUCCAUGGUAAAAUGACAAUAACAUAGCACCUCCUACACAUAAUAUUGUUCCUAACAUCUUUGCUUGCCCUGCUUUACUCCCAAGUCCCACUCUUUCUAGCCUGUCAAAAUUUACAAGUUUGAAUCUCGAAAUUUUAACGAGUACUUAAUUAAGUAACUAGUGAGGUCAUGAUGAUGAUUACCCAAAAGGGAUAGCUAGAAGAAAAGUGACAGCUGGGGUUAGAUUUGACAAAGCACAUGAAAUAGUUGGAGUUGUAUUCUUGAGGCCAACAAAGUAUGUUAUUUGGUUCAUACUAACCCUGCAAAAUCAUAUCAAUUGAGCCUUUAUCAGAUUUUUACUUUACAAUUUCAAAGCAAAAGUUGUAUACUCUAAUUAGAAACUAAAGUUGAAGAAGUGACUCACCCAAAAAUAGAGCACAAGAAAAUCUGGAAAAGGAUGGAUGGAGUUAACUUUGGCCUUGUUUUUCUGCACAAAACCCACUUCAAAUAUUAAAUGAAAAUUGAGAGAAAAAAGAAAAAAAAACGUACGUAAUCCAAAUUACUGUCCAAUGCAAAAAAUAUUUUGUACAACUAAGUUGAUUAGUGCUAUAUUUAUUUCUUACUAUAUCAUUUUCCUAGAGUUAUGUGAUUAUAUUUUUGGCUAAACUAGACUAGAUAACAAAAAAAAAAAAAGGAAAUAACAAAGACUCUAUAUUAAUCAACCUAAUAAUACCCCUAACAUGAAAUCUUGUUGAUUUGUUUCUUCCAUUUUUUUUCUCCUUCACAAUGAAAAAAUAAUAAGGAUAAAAUAAAAGAUAAAGAUGACACUAAUUAAAGAAAUCAAGAAAAUGCAAGAUUCUAGGCAUAAAGAAGGUGGAAAUGAAGAAGCAAGCUAGUUAAGCCAUGUCUAUUUCGUGAACCAUUUGCAUGGUUCCAAGAAUAUAUAUAUAUAUAUAUAUAUAUAUAUAUAUAUAUAAUAUAAAAAAAAAAUCAUGAAAAAAUCACCCAAACAACAAUAAUAUGCAUGCAAUUUAGGCUUUAAAAUUCUUGGAGAAAGAGAAAAUAGAAGCCAUAAAUGGUAGAUAUACUUUUACAGACUAUUUAAUUUAUAGGCACAGUAUAAAGUUUGUACCUUUCCAAGAAAUAUGCAAAUGGUGCAAUUGCAAUGGUAGCAAAUAUUUGUCUGUAAGCUACAUGAACAAAAGGGUUCAUGCCUGAAUCCAUUGCAAGCUUUGAAAUAAUAUUCAUCCCUGCAUACCCUAAUUGUACAAUCACCAUAGUCAAGAAAGGCAACAAGUCAUUCCCCAUAUUAAUUCUUCUUCUCCAAAUUCACAACCUCUUGAUCAGAAUUAACAAGAAGAAAAUGAAAAUGAAGAAAGAAGAGAAAUGAAAGAUUAAAGAAAAGGGGUUAGUUUUAUAAUGAGAAGUGUUUGUCAUGUGUCAUAUUUAUAUGUACAAGAAAAUUAAUUAAAGGGCUUUUGUGAAGUUCAAGAAAUGACCUGUAUACUGAGAAAAAAAAAAGAAAAAA
rnacentral:lncRNA from 1 species